AUUACAAGAGUUGAUCUACCACGAGAUCAUAGAGGCUAAACCCUAGAAGCUAGCCUAUGAUUAUGAUUGUUGUUGUCCUACGGACUAAACCCUCUGGUUUAUAUAGACACCGGAGGGGGCUAGGGUUACACAGAGUCGGUUACAGAGAAGGAGGUCUACAUAUCCGAAUUGCCAAGCUUGCCUUCCUCGCAAAGGAGAGUCCCACCCGGGCACGGGACGAAGUCUUCAAUCUUGUAUCUUCAUAGUCCAACAGUCCGUCAUAAGUACAUAGUCCGGCUGUCCGAGGACCCCCCCUAAUCCAGGACUCCCUCACCUCCCCCAAUCUCGUGGGAGACUCUCUUCUUCAAUUUGCACAAAGUUAAAUAUUUCCUGCAAGGCAGCUUGUUUCUUAUGAGCAGGGAAAUAUUUUUCAGACAAGUAAUAGAUCAUAUCCUGGGGACUAUGCACACAACCAGGAGCAAGAGUAUUGUACCAAGCCUUAACAUCACCCUUUAAUGAGAAUGAGAAUAACUUGAGAAUAUAAUAGUAGUGAAUCUUCUCAUCAGGAGCAAAAAGGGUGGCUAUGUCAUUCAACUUAGAUGUGCCACAAUAGUUUCAGUUUCAUAGCCAUGGAAAGGAUCAGAUUCAACCAAAGUAAUUAACUUUGGGUCGACAGAGAAUUCAUAAUCCUUAUCAUCAAUCACAAUAGGUGAAGUAGCAAACUUAGGAUCACAUUUCAUUUUAGCAUUCAGAGAUCUUUUUUAAUACUCGCAUAAUAAUUUCUCUAGAUCAUCUCUAUCCUUACAAGCAAGAAUGUCUCUAGUUGCCUCCUCGCUCAUAGUAUAACCUUCCGGUACCUUUGGAAAUUCAUAUCUAGGAGGACUAGUUCUAGUAGGUGUUUCAAGAUUUUCAGUUUCAAGUUCAUCAUCAGAUUCAACAAUAUCAUGUUGUCUUACUCUAGUAAUUUGUUCAUCAAGAAAUUUACCUAGUGGCACAUCAUCAUCAAGCAAGGUACUAGCAUCAUCAUGAGUAGCAUUCAUAGCUGAAGUAGUAUCCUCAAUAACUUGUGACAUAUCAGAAGUAAUAGCAUGUUGUGGUGUUGCAAGUUUACUUAUAACAGAAGGUGAAUCUAAGGCGGAGCUGGAUGGCAGUUCCUUACCUCCCCUCGUCUUUGAGGGAAAAAUCUUAGUCUUAGCAUCCUUCAGAUUCUUCAUAGCGAUAAUAUGAUAAUAAUCCCAAGUAACUCAACAAAUAUAGCUAUGCUCCGCGGCACAAGCGCCAGAAAAAGAUCUUGAUAACCCAGAAGUAUAAGGGAUCGCAACAGUUUUCGAGGGUAGAGUAUUCAACCCAAAUUUAUAGAAUCGACACAAGGGGAGCCAAAGAAUAUUUGAAGGUAUGAGCAGCUGAGUUGUCAAUUCAACCACACCUAGAGAAUAAUUAUCUACAGCAAAGUGAUUAGUAGCAUAGUAAUAUGAUAGUUUUGAUAAUGGUAGCAGUAGCAACAGUAACGGUAACAGUGAUAAUAGUGAUUUUGUAGCAGUAACGAUAGCAAUAACAACAGUAGUAACUUAGCAAGAACAAUAUAAGAUGAAUUCGUGGGCAUUGGACCGGUGACUCGUUGGAUGAAAUUCAUCACGAGACAGUUAUAACCUAGGGCGAUACAGCACUAGCACCAGUUCAUAAAUAAAAUGUAGGUAUGUAUUCUGUAAAUAGUCAUACAUGCUUAUGGAAAGAACUUGCAUGACAUCUUUUGUCCUACCCUCCCAUGGCAGCGGGGUACUAUUGGAAACUAAGGGAUAUUAAGGCCUCCUUUUAAUAGAGAACCGGAACAAAGCAUUAGCACACGAUGAAUACAUGAACUCCUCAAACUACGGUCAUCACCGGGAGUGGUCCCGACUAUUGUCACUCCGAGGUUGCCGGAUCAUAACACGUAGUAGGUGACUAUAACUUGCAAGAUCGAAUCUAGAACAUAGAUAUAAUGGUGAUAACAUAAAUGGUUCAUAUCUGAAAUCAUGGCACCCAGUCACAAAGUAACAAGCAUUAAGCAUGGCAAAGUCAUAGCAACAUCAAUCUCAGAACAUAGUGGAUACUAGGGAUCAAGCCCUAACAAAACUAACUCGAUUACAAGAUGAAUCUCAUCUAACUCCUCACCGACCAGCGACCCUACGAAGGAAUUACUCACUCCCGGUGGGGAGCAUCAUGGAAAUGGAGAUGACGAUGUGUUGGUGAUGACAAAGAUCAAAGAGCUCGGACUCCAGAUCUGGCCUCCCGAUGAAGAACGGUAGACGGCGGCGGCUCCGUCUCGUGAAACGCGAUAAUUCUUUCUUCCCCAUUUUUUCUGGAAUAAUGUGAUUUUGUAGCGUCGGUUUCAGGGUCAGCGGGGCCACCAGGUGGGCAACACCCACCUGGGUGCGCCAUGGUGGGUUGUGCCCACCUAGGUGCCCCCCUCAGGUACCUCUUAGCUCCAGAAAUUCUCUUUAUUGAUAUAAAAAAUCCUCGCAAAGUUUCGUUCCAUUCCGAGAACUUUUAUUUUUGCACAAAAAACAACACCAUGGUAGUUCUGCUGAAAAUAGCGUCAGUCCGGGGUUAGUUUCAUUCGAAUCAUGCAAAUUAGAGUCCAAAUAAAGAGGAAAAGUGUUAGGAAAAGUAGAUACGUUGGAGACGUAUCAGCCAGCCACUGCCCCAAAACCACACCUCCUCUCCAACACAUUCCCCCACCUCUCGAUCCCCUAGCCCGCAUCAAGCGUCCCCUAGUUUGACGGAAAGCCAUGGUGCGCCGCAAGAUCACGUACUACAAGAUGCUGACGUCAGAGCGCCGUGCAGAAACCACGGCAGCGGUCGAUGCCACAGACCUCCAUUCCUAAGCUCGCUUUGCAGCGGGCCAAUCCCCGAGUUCUCUGGAGCCAAGCUCCGAGGAGGAGGAAGUUGAUCCAAUGUUCAUGGCGGAUGUCGCGGCGCAGAAGGCCCCUAAUGCGUAUGAGAUGACGGACGUUGACUUCAUGUCGGUGUCCGGGUUCCCCAUGGUGCAGGCGGACCAGCGGUUCAACCUGGCGAUACUAAAGGAGGACCAGGAGGCAGAGGCUCAACUCGAUGCAGAGCGCAUGGAUGCCACUGCCAUCGAGGCCCUCCCGCAGGCGGAACCGGAUGUCGUGGAUGUGAACCGGGUGGCGAAGGCUCAACUUGAUGCGGAGCACAUGGAUGCCACCGCCAUCAAGGCCCUCCUACAGGCGGAAUCGGACGUCCUGGACUUGAACCGGGCGGCGGAGGCUCAACUCGACGCGGAGCGCGUGGAUGUUGCUGCCAUCAAGGCCCUCCUGCAGGCGGAACCGGACAUCCUGGACUUGAACCGGGCGGUGCUCGCAUCCGUGUAGAGCGCCCGCAUGCUCCACGUGAACGAGUAGCUGGAGGUCGAGGACAACCACGGUGCGGAGACAAACAUUGGCUGCUACGGCUAGCUCGCCCCGGCAGCCAAAGACGACGAGGCCGUCUCAUUCCCCGAGCAGUGAUAGUUUUUCUUUAUGUUGUUGUUUCUAAGGAUAUUUUGAUGUGUAAAAACAUAUAUUUAUGCAAGACUGACUUUCAUCAUUUGGGUCAGUCGACCAUUUCAGGUGGUUGGAUGAAUAUCCUACGUCUCCUAACCCUUCUUCUUCACCUGUUCUUCUUCCCCUAUAGACCAUCGCACGGGCCGCACGGAUCUUUCCCAACAUGCGGUUGGAUUAACAUACUGUAUGGACGAAAAUUAUGUGUCAACGAUAGGAUGGCUGAGUUUGGUUUGAUCACAUGCGGUAGCACAUGUCAGUGAGGGUGCGUUCCCUUGGUUGGGUUUGCGGCGUGCAGGAGCGACUGUGUGAGGAUGUGGUGCGACCAUGACAGCCGUGCGCAAGUGUACCUCCUUUUCAUUUUGUAAACUUUAGGCAAGCUUGCAAAAAUGUGUGGCGAAGUAUGGCAAUGCAAGGCCUAGACCCAAACAGGAUACAAGUACGUUCGUAGGAGUACUACUUGUGUUAAAAAAGAAAGGCGGGGUUUUCCUUCACGAGAUUGAUAGAUACAGAUCACCGUUUGAUGUGUCAAUUAAUGCAUAUUUUUUCUCCAACAUCCAAAGAGCUAACCAUCUCACUCCUCAUCACUUGAUUAAUUUUGUGCCAUGCAAACCAACCUUCUCACUUCCGCAUACAUGCAUGGGUAUAUUAAUGUCCUUGGCUGCUAGUAGGAGGCAAACCCCAUCAAUUUUGCCUCGAUUAGUGUUAGUGGCCUUCUGCAAAACGUAAUUUUGAUAUACUGGCCUUGUGUACAAAAAAAUGGAGGUAGUAGCUAUUUGACUUCCUUCCCCAUUGCCGUGACGUCGAUGAUAUCUCGAACGUUGUGGUUUGGCGAAGUGCGUCCGAUGGAGAACACCAUUGAGGGAGACCACGGUAAGUCAUUUGCAUGUGCCGCCUGCAAGCCGAGACAACUGCCUUAUUUGCAUCCAGGAAAUCCGUUGAACCAAAGGACGCGUAGAUGUACUAGUACUACACAAUAGCGUCGUCCGUCCAGCUUAGUGUGGUAAGCUGGUUUCUCGAAGAAGACGAGGGAGAAGCGGAGUCGGUGAAGAGUGAAAUGAUGGUUGCUUCGUCUGUGCUUUGUGAUUUGACGCCUCAAUGCUUUGUGAUUUGUGAUAGAAGGGACAGGGGAGUAGACUCUGUCCAAGCACGAGAGAAAGAGGAGAGAGGUUGCAUUUUUCUAUUCCUUCAAUCAAUCAAUUAGGGAGCUUCGGUUCCAUCUUUUUGGCUUUGACAGCACCAUCCACAAUGGUUCCCAUCGAUGCCAAAAGCUAUUUUCACAUUUGGCUACACAUUGUGGAUGCCCUUAACCAUACCACUUGGUUUUUCUCCUGUGUGCUAUCUAUACAAAUCUCGAUUAUAUUGAUCUAAAAAACCAUAGUAUAAAGAUUAGUAAAAAGGAGGUGAUAUUGCCGCGCGGAUGGCGGGGGAGGUUUCUUAUUUUUAGAGGACGUUGGCCUGGCACUUUUCUAACAUGCGGUCCCACGUGUUAGUGCUUUACCAAGCCGAUCCGCAUCUCACAUGUGGCAGAACAAUGGCAGAAGCAACACAUGGUUAACUUGAAGAAGAUGAGGGAGAAGCGGAUUCAGCAACGAGUGAAUGAUGGUUGCUUCGUACCUCCAACUUCUUCUUUUUAGCAUUAUUACUUCGUCCCUCCAACUUAACUGCGGGAAUGGUGCAGCUUUGUGAUUUGACGCCUCAUUGCUCAUUACUACACUGGUGCCUAAUACGUCCAUUUUGCAUCAUGCGUUUAUAUCGAUAUUUAUCGCAUUAUGGGUUGUUAUUACACGUUAUGUCACAAUACUUAUGGCUAUUCUCUCUUAUUUCACAAGGUUUAUCAUGAAGAGGGAGAAUGCCGACAGCUGGGAUUCUGGCUGGAAAAGGAGCAAAUAUUGGAAACCUAUUUUGCACAGCUCCAAAAGUCCUGAAACUCCACGAAAGUCAUUUUUGGAAUUAAUAAGAAUUAUUGAGCAAAGAAAAUACCAGAGGGGGCCCACACCCUGGCCACGAGGGUGGGGGCGCCCCCCUGAGGGAGUCCUGGAUUAGGGGGUAUCCGGACAGCCGGACUAUAUACAUUGUCCGGACUAUCAAAGUGUGAAGAUACAAGACUCAAGACUUCGACCCGUGUUCGGAUGGGACUCUCCUUUGCGUGGAAGACAAGCUUAGAGAUCCGGAUAUUAGAUUUCCUUCCUUGUAACCGACUCCAUAUAAACCCUAGCCCUCUCCGGUGUCUAUAUAAACCGGAGAGGAUGGUCCCUAGAAGACCGAUCACAAUUACAAUUAUACCAUCAUAGGCUAGCUCUUAGGGUUUAGCCUCUACGAUCUCGUGGUAGAUCUACUCUUGUACUACUCAUAUCUUCAAUAUUAAUCAAGCAGGAAGUAGGGUUUUACCUCCAUAGAGAGGGCCCGAACCUGGGUAAACAUUGUGUCCCUUGCUUCCUGUUACCAUCAGCCUAAGACGCACAGAUCGGGACCCCCUACCCGAGAUCCGACGGUUUUGACACCGACAUUGGUGCUUUCAUGGAGAGUUCCCCUGUGUCGUCGCUUCAAGGCUUGAUGGCGUCUUCAAUCGUCAACAACACGGUCCAGGGUGAGACUUUUCUCCCCGGACAGAUCUUUGUGUUCGGCAGCUUCGCACUGCGGGCCAAUUUGCUUGGCCAUCUGGACCAGAUCGACAGCUACGCCCCUGGCCACCAGAUCAGGCUUGGAAACUUGAACUACACGUCGGAUAUUCGUGGAGACUUGAUCUUCGACGGAUUCGGCCCUGAGCCGGGAGCGCCGGACAGUCAUGACGAACAUGGCCUAGACCUACUGUCGGACAACGCUCGGAACAUCAUCCCUGCAAUAGCCCCGGAUCUGAAUCCGGAACAAGUUGCGUUGCCCAAGGACGGAGGGGUAGACCCCGCCUCACAGGCCGCACACUCAUCGGAGUUGGAGCCGAACACAGGUCUCACCUCGGUGGAGACCUGUAACCCCGGACUCCUAGACUCAUAUCCGUUCGUUGGUUCCGAUCCGCACACCCUCAAGCCAGCCGAGCCAGGCUGGGCUCCGGUAAUGGAGUUUACCGCUGCGGACAUAUUUCAACACUCGCCCUUGGGCGACAUGUUGAAUUCCUUAAAGUCUCUCUCUCUCUGUCAGAAGACGCUGGGCCGAACUAUGUCCGGCUUGAGUUGGAAGCAGGCGACGAAGGAAUUCGCUGCCCACCCACCGCCCAUUUGGUUGCCACGGUCGAUGAUUCAACCGACAUGCUUAACUUCGACUACGAAGACAUCGACGGUAUGGACGACGAUGCAGAACACUUACAGGAGCCACCGCCCUUAGGGCGGUGGACAGCCACCUCUUUAUACGAUAUAUAUAUGGUGGAUUCUCCGAAGGAAACCAAUGGCGACGAGGCAACGAAGGAUAACCCCUCAGAGGGAAAAUCAAAGUAUGGGUGUCUUCGGCGCCACCCCAAGCCCCGCCACAUCAAUGCCAGCCCCGGAGAUGAAAACAAUUCGGAUGGUGCCGAAGAGGAACACAGCCUCGAUCAGCCCACCUUUAAGCAGGCCGGACAGGCCAUAGUGGGAUGCUUGGAGAGGGACAACUAUACACCCUCCCCUGAAGACGAGGUAAGCCUCGAUAAUGACGAAUUCAGUGUGCCUGAAGACCCAGUAGAACAAAUUCUCUUCAAACGAUGACUCACGACCACGGCAAGGAGCCUGCAAAGGAAGCAGGAGCGGCUUAAAAUUAACCGGGAUUUGCUAAUGGAUAGGUGGACCAAGAUCCUGGCCACCAAAGAGUACGGACUCGACCGCCCUAACAAGGGGUACACACGGCACAACAGGCUACCUCAACCUAAGCAGGCGAUCCAAAGGCACUCAACCCAACGUCCGCACACCACCGCAGUCCAAGACAGCAAUAAGGAUACACGAAGAGGCAUCCUUAAGCCUCGGCACAACGGCCACAAAUGUCACGUCAGGAAAACUGGUGCCAAGUUCAGCAAUUCCCAGUCCGGUCAACGAACAAAGAAUAGCUCAAGCCUAUUCGGCUCGAGCCACAGACUCGGUCAACCGUGUGAAAUCCACGGUACUCCAAAAAGGAUGGCAAAACAUACCAAUAGAGAAUGCCAGAUCUCCAAAACAAAGCGACUAGCCGCAUGCCGGAAACAAUGAAGGGCGGCGUCUAGUCAAGAGACCCCCCCCAGAGCACAAUAGUACGGCCGAUCGUCCUCUAUCACACAAUGCACAGCAACCUAAUUGCCGUACCCCUAGACCUAGUAGUCCAGGGGCACCAUAACACAUAAAAGCCCCCGCAGGUAUAAACCUGCAAACAAAAACCUUCGAUAAGGUGUCCGGUGCAAAGUCUAAGUUCAUUGGCCCACCACUCUAACGGUUGUUCUUAGAGAACCAAAAAAUGCCACACCCCCUUCAUACGGUAACCCACCGCAUGAUAACGGGAUGAACUACGUUAACUAGAUUCCACGUGGUAAACCACUAGGCCAAUGCCAGUGAGAUACUCACGCCUACAUACAAGGCCGAAACCCCGCCCUUAGAGCGGAAAUCAUACAGCCGCCGGAGUUGCAAGUUAUGCAUGCCUAUCAACAUUUUGAUAGGACAACCAUAUAUCCGGACACCCACGAGGGAGUCCAGGCUACUUUCCGAUAUAGUGGCUAGGGUCGCCAGGGUCCGAUCAGGAACCUUUUAGACCAACCACGGGAGGACGCCCGACUGCCUCCAAACAUUUACCUUCACAAACUAACUUUUAUGCAGAACAGGAUUGGCGGCGUGGAAUCUGCCCAGACACAUAAGGAAAGGACCAUACAGGCAGAAGGCAGUUCGGGUUCACUUCCGAUCCAUUCACAGCCCCUUCUAGUCCAGCCAUCACAGGUUCCGCCAAAAACCAUUCCCUUGUUAUCAUCAUAAAUCGCACUCAUAUGCAUAGACAUAUCAUCCUACUGCAAUGCGUAGACUUAAAUAAAUACUUACCGGUCGUCGUCUAUCAUCGACGCCUCCUCGCCGCAAACCGGCAGCUAUGCUUCAUGUUGCGCCCGGCUAUGCCAGGGGCUUCACAGUAUGGCCCUAAAGUUUGACCACCUUUUCGUUCGCUCGGCAUCCCUAACUUAUAGCACUAUAUGCAUCAGCUCCGAAUCAUGUCUUGGGUCAUUGGUUGGGUUUGCCCGGCUCCCAUGUUUUGGUACCUUACAUUCCAUUCUGUCGGCUAAGGUAGCGCUGGGAGAACUACUGCGGUUGUGUCCCGGUUCUGUCGGAUGAGCACCUCAGUAGAGAAAGCCAAAAAUCGACUGUCAUGAUGCAGCGAGAGCUGGUCAACUGUUCGAGAGGUUGUAAAAUCCUUAAAGAUUUAUUCCGCAUAACGCCACUAUAAAAUGUAGACUGCGAUGGACCGGUCUUCCGAUCAGGUGCCAAUAGAGACACUAGUUCGGCCCUCCGAGCACUAGGGGCUGCGCCGACCAUACUCGAAUUCCUAUGGCUAAGUGAGGGUAGUAAAGCCAUAUAUAGUCCGACCGCCUAGUUCGUGGUGAGAAACACCUCCUUAAAAGGACCCAGCCAUGGGAUAAAGAGUGUUCAGAAAUACCCCGAACACCCCCGUACUUCUCACGUGGGGGCUGAAGCCGACGACUGGCCAACUCUCAGAAUUUACAUACAAUAAACAGCCGCACGGGAAGAACAUAUGUUCACACAAAAUAGGCAAUACAUAAUAAGCAUGCCAUUGUCCCAUAUUACAAAUAUUGGCAAGAAUGCCCUCAGGGGAAUAUAAUGUCUUUGGAGCACUUGUCCGCCGCCAGGCGGGCCCCCUCCAGUACACCUUCAUAGUACAGUUCGGGCUUGCGAUGCUCCUUACCCGCCGGUGGCCCCUCAGUUAUCAGCUUCUCCGCAUCAAACUUCCCACAAUGCACUUUCGCAUGGGCAAGAGCCAUGCAUGCACCUUCUAUACAGACCGAUCGCUUGAUUGAAUCAAGCCGAGGACAGGCGCCCACAAACCUCUUUACGAGUCCAAAGUAACUGCUUGGAAUUGGCCCUGCAGGCCAUAGCCGGAUAAUCAAAUCCUUCAUGGCUAGUUCGGUUGCCUGGUGCAGUUCGACCAGCUGCUUCAGCUGAUCAAUAGAAGGCACCGGAAAGUUCGGCGCCAAAUAGUGCGACCAGAAGCUCCUCCCCGCAGACUCCCUUUCCUCGGUCCGGUAAAAUUGGGCAGCAUCUGAUAUGCUACGAGGUAGAUCUGCAAACGCCCGUGUAAAAUCAAGAAUUCAGCUUCCCGCUUGGAGUUCUCCCCAUUAUCACGUAAUAAUGGUCAUAGACACAAAUGGCCUUACCAGCCGCAACCUUCCGGGCCUCCUGAAUGUCCUAUACAGCACUCCGGCCUUCUUCUCGAGCAUCCUCUGCGGCUUGGAGAGCUUGGGCGAGCUCGGAUUCUUUCCCUACUAGACUCUGCUCCAAGCUAUCGCUUUUCGUCAUAGCUUCCUGGAGCUUCCGCUCAGCUAUGACGACCCUAGCCUCGUGUUCCUCAUGACGCGCCUGUUCGGCAGCAGCCUUCUCGCGGGCGUCAGCCGCUGCCUUCUUCAGUGCUUCGUAUUCGGCACUCGCUCCUAGGGCGUAUAACAUAACUUACUUUUCGAUAGGCACACUUAUUCGUUUGUGCCCAAUGCAAUACAAUGUUUAAACAUACCUUGCUUCUCCUCUAAUUGCUUCUUCACAUGUCCGAGUUCUUCUUCGGCCCGUUCUAGGCUCUGCUUCAGUUCGGACAUUUCCGCAUCAUGAGCGGCCGUCCUCUUUGCCAACGCCUGUUUUCAAACAAAUGGUAUGCAUUAUCAACCAAAGGCUCCCAUUACAACAGAGGGUUUGAUCCCCUGCCCGGCUCUCUUUCGCCGGACAGUGUAUCAGGGGCUACUACUCAUAUUAUGAUUAUUCCUCAAAGUUUCCUUGGAAACCAUACCUCAAAAGCCUUUAUAAGGCCAAGGCAGGACUCAUUCAGCCCUCUUUCGGCAGACUGGAUCUCUUCAACCACCGCACCCAUGAGGGUCCGAUGUUCAUCGACGAUAGAUGUGUUCUUCAACGCUGUCGAUAGACCGCCCGACAGCCCUGCAUAGGUAGAGGUUGCCGGUGGAGUAGGCAAACCUCCCUCCUUGAAGGGUGGCCGCUCGCCCGAUCCUGGAGCCAUAGAAGUCUCUAGGGCCUUAUCUGACUCAGGGUCUCCUCGAGACGACACCUCAGUGUCACGCCUAGACUCCGGAAAAAGAGCCUCCGGAGGCGUCUCGCUCGCCACAGCAUCCGAACUCAACGAAUCCUCCGAUGAUGACUGUCCGGCAGGAGGACUCGCCGGGCUGUAUGCGAUAUGAUGACAGUUAAAACUACAAUACCCAGACGACCGGGAGUGCAUAUACGCAGUAGGGAUUCGGUCACUUAUGAUUUUUCCAGGGGCUGGGCUCUGGGAUCCCACUCCGUGCCGCUGUCGGCAGCCGGAGGGGACACUUCUGGACGGGAACCUCUCCCCCUCUUGGGCGAUUCGUCCUUCAGGGACGGGGAAGCCGCGCGCUUCUUCCCACCUACAGAGUGAGGCUCAUCCUCCUCUGCCUCCUCCUCUUCGUCUUCGAAAGAAGUGGCGUCGCCAGAGUCUUCGGAUUUGGCGUCCGAAGUCACGCGGCGACGGAGGCCACUCCGGGCCUUCUUGACCUUCUUGGAGUCCUCCUUCUUUGGCGCCUUGUAAGGCGUGGGGACCAGCAUCUUAGUUAGGAGAGGUCCAGCUGGUUCUUCCGGCAGUGGGGCCAGACAAUGCAUCCGCUCCACCUUCUUAAUCCAUCCCUGAGGUCACGAUAAAACGCGAUUAGAAUGUCUCCUUCAUAACUCACCAACUGAAGCAUGGACGGACGGGACGUGACUGUAACUUACUGGGCUUGGAGAAUGGGAUAACUGAUGUCCCCGAUCUUCGGCGGAGUCCGGCCAUGAUUUGCCGGACUUGAAGAGCACCUUCCAGAUAUCCUCGUGGGAGGAGUCAUAGAGCUCCUGGAGGGUUUGGUGCUCGGUCGGGUUGAACUCCCAUAAAGCGCAGGCUCGACGCUGACAAGGUAGAACCAGGCGAACUAGCAUCACCUGGACUACGUUAACGAGUUUGAUGCCCUUGUCGACCGUGCUCUGAACGCGCGUCUGGAGCAGUGAUAGCUCAUUAGACGAAGACCAGUUCGGGCCCUUCUUGGUCCAGGAAGUGAGCCGCGGUGGAGCUCUGGAUCUGAACUCAGGAGCUGCAGCCCACUUUUUGUCGCGUGGUUCAGUGAUAUAAAACCACUGCUGCUGCCACUCCCUGACGGAGUCGUUGAAAGUGCCCUUAGGCCAAGUGACCUUGGGCAUCUUGCUCACCAUGGCACCACCACACUCGGCGUGUUUGUCGCUUACCACCUUGGGCUUCACGUUGAAAAUCUUCAGCCAUAGGACGAAGUGAGGCGGAAUUCAGAAAAAGGCCUCGCACACGACGAUGAACGUCGAGAUGUUGAGGAAGGAGUUGGGGGAAAGAUCAUGAAAAUCAAUCCCGUAAAAAUACAUGACUCCACGGACAAAUGGGUAGAGGGGAAACCCGAGCCCGCGGACAAAAUGGGGAAGGAACACGACUCUCUCGUGAGGCUCUGGAGUGGGGACGACUUGUCCCGCCGGUGGGAGACGGUGGCCUAUCUUCUUGGCCAGAUACCCGGCUUCCCGAAGCUUCUUGAUAUCCUUCACCCGGACGGUAGAGGCCAUCCAUCUGCCUCCUGCUCCGGAUCUGGACAUUUUUGGAAAACCUUUUUUGGACGAGAAAGAAGCAGGCUUGGGCGUUAGGGCUCGAGCGGAGGGGGGUGAGUUAGCGGAAGGAAAAGGUGUGGGUAAAAGGAAGAGACUUUAUCUCUUUAUAAGAGGUAGUACGAGCUUUUUGCGCCUCCCCACUUGCCUGGUGGAACCCGCUCGCCUCCCACUCGCCACGAUUAGCAGUAUGGUUGGACUACCCAUACCCGUGUUGAUGAGAAUCCCGUGAUAAGGGGACAUGAUCUCUACAUUGAAAGGAUGUGUCAAGGAAACCGCCCCACGAUACGCGUAGUGCCUGGUUUUGGGAAGGACAUUUCGAAUAAUGACCUGGUCGUAAUAAUGCAUCACGCCGUCUAAAAAUUAUCAGCCAAAGUACCUUCCUCUCUACGGCGGUAUGAGAAGAUCAUCUUGCAGAUCCGGACACGGUAUACGUGUUCGAUAAAUAACCUUGGAGUAUUCAGAGAAGGAACCCGCCUUGCAAUGCCGAAGACAAGACUGCGUGCCGGACUCAUCGUCAUUGAAGCCUGGUUCAAGGGCUACUAAGGGAGUCUUGGAUUAGGGGGUAUCCGGACAGACAGACUAUAUACAUUGUCCGGACUAUCGAAGCGUGAAGAUACAAGACUCAAGACUUCGGCCCGUGCCCGGAUGGGACUCUCCUUUGCGUGGAAGACAAGCUUAGCGAUCCGGAUAUUAGAUUUCCUUCCUUGUAACCAACUCCAUGUAAACCCUAGCCCUCUCCGGUGUCUAUAUAAACCGGAGAGGAUGGUCCCUAGAAGACCGAUCACAAUUACAAUCAUACCAUCAUAGGCUAGCUCUUAGGGUUUAGCCUCUACGAUCUCGUGGUAGAUCUACUCUUGUACUACUCAUAUAUUCAAUAUUAAUCAAGCAGGAAGUAGGGUUUUACCUCCAUCGAGAGGACCCGAACCUGGGUAAACAUUGUGUCCCUUGCUUCCUGUUACCAUCAGCCUAAGACGCACAGAUCGGGACCCCCUACCCGAGAUCUGCCGGUUUUAACNNNNNNNNNNNNNNNNNNNNNNNNNNNNNNNNNNNNNNNNNNNNNNNNNNNNNNNNNNNNNNNNNNNNNNNNNNNNNNNNNNNNNNNNNNNNNNNNNNNNNNNNNNNNNNNNNNNNNNNNNNNNNNNNNNNNNNNNNNNNNNNNNNNNNNNNNNNNNNNNNNNNNNNNNNNNNNNNNNNNNNNNNNNNNNNNNNNNNNNNNNNNNNNNNNNNNNNNNNNNNNNNNNNNNNNNNAAAUCAUAAGAAAGCUUACGGGACAAAACUCCGCCGCCAUGAGGCGGAACCUUGGCAGAACCAAUCUAGGGCUCCGGUGGAGCUGUUCUGCCGGGGAAACUUCCCUCCGAGAGGGGGAAAUCAUCACCAUCGUUAUCACCAAUGAUCCUCUCAUCGAAAGGGGGUCAAUCUCCAUCAACAUCUUCACCAGCACCAUCUCCUCUCAAAAACCCUAGUUCAUCUCUUGUAUCCAAUCUUGUAUUAAAACCACAAAUUGGUACCUGUGGGUUGCUAGUAGUGUUGAUUACUCCUUGUAGUUGAUACUAAUUGGUUUAUUUGGUGGAAGAUCGUAUGUUCAGAUCCUUAAUGCAUAUUAAUACUACUCUGGUCAUGAACAUGAAUAUGCUUUGUGAGUAGUUACGUUUGUUCCUGAGGACAUGGGUGAAGUCUUGCUAUUAGUAGUCAUGUGAAUUUGGUAUAUAUUUGUUCGAUAUUUUGAUGAGAUGUAUGUUGUCUCUCCUCUAGUGGUGUUAUGUGAACGUCGACUACAUGACACUUCACCAUUGUUUGGGCCUAGAGGAAGGCAUUGGGAAGUAAUAAGUAGAUGAUGGGUUGCUAGAGUGACAGAAGCUUAAACCCUAGUUUAUGCGUUGCUUCGUAAGGGGCUGAUUUGGAUCCACUAGUUUCAUGCUAUGAUUAGGUUUACCUUAAUACUUAUUUUGUAGUUGCGGAUGCUUGCAAUAGGGGUUAAUCAUAAGUUGGAUGCUUGUCCAAGAAAGGGUAGUACCCAAGCACCGGUCCACCCACAUAUCAAAUUAUCAAAGUAUCGAACGCGAGUCAUAUGAGCGUGAUGAAAACUAGCUUGACGAUAAUUCUCAUGUGUCUUCAGGAGCGCUUUUCUCAUUAUAAGAAUUUUUCCAGGCUUGUCCUUUGCUACAAAAAGGAUUGGUCCACCUUGAUGCACCUUAUUUACUUUCAUUGCUUGUUACUCAUUACAAAUUAUCUUAUCACUAAACUAUCCGUUACCUACAAUUUCAGUGCUUGCAGAGAAUACCUUACUGAAAACCGCUUGUCAUUUCCUUCUGCUCCUCGUUGGGUUCGACACUCUUACUUAUCAAAAGGACUACGAUAGAUCCCCUAUACUUGUGGGUCAUCAAGACUCUUUUCUGGCGCCGUUGCCGGGGAGUGAAGCGCCUUUGGUGAGUGGAACUUGGUAAGGAAACAUUUAUAUAGUGUGCUGAAAUUUUCUGUCACUUGUUACUAUGGAAACUAAUCCUUUGAGGUGCUUGUUCGGGGCAUGUUGUCCCCGACCAGUAGAGCAAAGAUUUGCUCCUCAACCUACUGAACCUACUGAAAAUGUUUACUUUGAGAUUCCUUCGGGUAUGGUACAGAAACUGCUAGCUAAUCCCUUUGCAGGAGAUGGAACAUUGCAUCCCGAUUUACACCUUAUCUAUGUGGAUGAAGUUUGUGGAUUAUUUAAGCUUGCAGGUAUUCCCGAUGAUGUUCUUAAGAGGAAGGACUUUCCUUUAUCUUUGAAGGGAGACACAUUGACAUGGUAUAGGCUAUGUGAUGAUACGGGAUCUUGGAAUUAUAAACGAUUGAAGUUGGAAUUUAACUAGAAGUUCUAUCCUAUGCAUCUCGUUCAUUGUGAUCGUAAUUACAUAUAUAAUUUCUGGCCUCACGAAGGAGAAAGCAUCGCUCAAGCUUGGGGGAGCCUUAAGUCAAUGUUAUAUUCAUGCCCCAAUCAUGAGCUCUCAAUAGAUAUGAUUAUUCAAAAAGAUUAUGCUCGGCUUUCUCUCAAUGAUCGCACCAUGCUCGAUACUUCCUGUGCUGGUUCUUAUAUGUUGAAGACUAUUGAAUUCAAGUGGGAUUUAUUGGAAAGAAUUAAACGCAACUCUGAAGAUUGGGGUUCCGACGAUGGUAAGGAGUCAGGUAUGACACCUAAGUUUGAUUGUGUUAAAUCUUUUAGGGAUACCGAUGCUUUUCGUGGAUUUAGCGCUAAAUAUGGACUUGACUCUGAGAUAGUAGCUUCUUUCUGUGAAUCUUUUGCUACCCAUGUUGACCUCCCUAAGGAGAAGUGGUUUAAAUAUAAUCCUCCCAUUGAAGUAAAAGUAGAUUCACCUGUUACAGUUGAAGAAAAGACUAUCACUUAUAAUCAUUCUAUUGUUCCUACUACUUAUGUUGAGAAACCACCUUUUCCUGUUAGAAUAAAGGAUCAUGCUAAAGCUUCAACUGUGGUUUGUAAAAGUAAUACUAGAACAUAUACACCUCCUGAGCAAAUUAAAGUUGAACCUAGUAUUGCUAUGGUUAAAGAUAUUUUGGAUGAUAAUAUAGAUGGGCAUGUUAUAUACUUCUGUGAUGAAGCCGCUAAUAUUGCUAGACCAGAUGCUAAGAUACAUAGACCUGUUGUAGGCAUGCUUGUUAUUUCUGUUAAAAUAAGAGAUCAUUGUUAUCAUGGCUUAUGUGAUAUGGGUGCUAGUGCUAGUGCAAUACCUCACUCCUUAUACGAAGAAAUUAUGCAUGAGAUCGCACCCGCUGAGUUAGAAGAUAUUGAUGUCACUAUUAAGCUUGCCAAUAGAGAUACUAUUUCACCAGUUGGGAUUGUUAGAGAUGUUGAAGUCUUGUGCAGAAAAGUUAAAUAUCAUGCUGAUUUUCUUGUUCUUGGUUCCCCACAAGAUGAUUUUUGUCCCAUUAUUUUUGGUAGACCCUUCUUGAAUACUGUUAAUGCUAGAAUAUAUUGCAAAAAGGAUGUUGUUACGAUUGGCUUAGGAGAUAUGUCUCAUGAGUUUAAUUUUGCUAAAUUUUGUAGAAAACCCCAUGAUAAAGAAUUGCCUAGUAAGGAUGAAAUUAUUGGUCUUGCUUCUAUUGUCGUGCCUCCUACUGAUCCGUUAGAACAAUAUUUGCUAGACCAUGAAAAUGAUAUGUUUAUGAAUGAAAGAAGGGAAAUAGAUGAAGUAUUCCUUCAAUAGGGCCCUAUUCUGAAACACAACUUACCUAUUGAAAUCUUAGGGGAUCCCCCUCCACCCAAGGGUGAUCCCGUGUUUGAGCUUAAACCUUUACCUGAUAAUCUCAAAUAUGCUUAUCUUGAUGAAAAGAAGAUAUAUCCUGUUAUUAUCAGUGCUAACCUUUCAGAGCAGGAAGAGGAAAGAUUAUUGAAAACUCUGAAGAAGCACCGUGCUGCUAUUGGAUAUACUAUGGAUGAUCUUAAGGGCAUUAGUCCCACUCUAUGCCAACACAAAAUUAAAUUGGACGAAGGUUCCAAACCAGUUAGGGAUCAUCAACGACAGUUAAAUCCUAAGAUGAAAGAAGUGGUAAGAAAGGAGAUACUAAAGCUCCUUGAGGCAGGUAUAAUUUAUCUAGUUGCUGAUGGUGAUUGGGUAAGUCAUGUCCACUGCGUCCCUAAGAAGGGAGGUAUUACCAUUGUUCCUAAUGAUAAAGAUGAAUUGAUUCCGCAAAGAAUUAUUACAGGUUAUAGGAUGGUAACUGAUUUCUGUAAAUUAAAUAAAGCUACUAAGAAAGAUCAUUAACCUUUGCCUUUUAUUGAUCAAAUGCUAGAAAGACUAUCCAAACAUACACAUUUCUUCUUUCUAGAUGGUUAUUCCGGUUUCUCUCAAAUACUUGUGUCAGCGGACGAUCAAUCAAAAACCACUUUUAAUUGCCCUCUCGGUACUUCUGCUUAUAGAUGUAUGCCUUUUGGUUUAUGUAAUUCACCUGCUACCUUUCAAAGAUGCAUGAUGGCAAUAUUCUCUGACUUUUGUGAAAAGAUUUGUGAGGUAUUCAUGGAUGACUUCUCCGUUUAUGGAUCCUCUUUUGAUAAUUGCUUGAGCAACCUUGAUCGAGUUUUGCAGAGAUGUGAAGACAUUAGUCUCGUCUUGAAUUGGGAAAAGUGUCACUUUAUGGUUAAUGGAGGCAUUGUCUUGGGGCAUAAAAUUUCUGAAAGAGGUAUUGAAGUUGAUAAAGCUAAAGUUGAUGCUAUUGAAAAGAUGCCAUGUCCCAAGGACAUUAAAGGUAUAAGAAGUUUCCUUGGUCAUGCCGGUUUUUAUAGGAGGUUCAUUAAGGACUUUUCUAAAAUCUUUAGGCCUUUGACUAAUUUAUUGCAAAAAGAUAUUCUGUUUGUCUUUUAUGAUGAUUGCGUAGAAGCAUUUGAAAUACUUAAGAAAGCUUUGAUCACUGCACCUAUUGUUCAGCCACCUGAUUGGAAUUUACCCUUUGAAAUUAUGUGUGAUGCUAUGAACUAGCAUACAUUUGAAUUCAACUUAAGGUGGUUUAAAAAAUUCGAAUUCAACAUGCAAUCCAUUCAAUUAUUUAAAUUCGAUAUCAGGGCAUUUGUAAAUCAUACCUAAAUUAUGGGGGCACCAAUCUUUGCUCUGCUUUUGUACAUAAUAGCAUAUAUAGUCGUGUACAAAAUAGAUUCAAAUUUACCUCCUCCAUUCCAAAAUAAUCAUAGUUAUUGGAUUUUCAAGUGUGAAAAUUUCAAAAUGAAGCACAUAAUUUAAUGAGAUUUUCAGACAUACAAGGUCAAAUUUAACAUUGUCUAUUUAGGUCAAUCCUCAAAGUUCAAGAGUACUCUAAAUGUGAAUGCUUCUAUUUCAAAAUUUCGAAUGAAGCACCAAAAGAGCCUCUACUCGCCUCAAACCGCGUGAGACCAAUUUUUGUUAGAAGGAAAUUACUUUUCUAACUCCGACCCGUGGAACCUACCGGCCUGACAUCCAAAGGUCUAAACGGAGGUAGGUUUGUAGUCCAUCUAGACACCACACAACUGCCUCCGAAAAACAUUCAUACACAAUGGCUGCCUAAGCACACAUGUGUUUGACCGAAAUCGCUCCCGCCCACUAUUUGAGACAGCUAGGAUUACCAUCCUACCCCUGACUCAUAGUAGGUCUGAAAUUUAAGAGGGGGGCAAAGUUUGUACUUUCCCCAAAUUUCAAACAAGCGUGUCCCAUCUAUUCAAAAAAACCAAAAACAAGUGUGCCCCAAACCGAAACAUGGUUCCCCCUUAGCUCCCCCCCCCGUUUGAUUCCCCAAUCGUACUCCAUGAGCGCCAAAACUACCUCUCCACCAUCCGCGAAACCCCGGUGUCCUCCGUCCGCCACCCCAUCCCACCCAUCAACCGCCGCCCUCCUCCAUCACCCCGGAGCCGAUACCCCAAUGUCGUCGUCCACCGCAGCCGCAACCGCAAUGCCCACCAUGGCUAGUAGUUGAAGCCGAGGCCGAGCUGCCUCCAGGACGCUGACGUGCGCCACACACGAUCUAGUUCAACCACGCCGUCCUGUGCCUCACUGUUGUCGCUCCAACUUCGCCACCGUCCACCGCACCAGAGCUGUUCCCGCUACGUCUUCCUUCGCUGCCUCGGAUCUGCUUCCCCUCCGCCGACAGACGGCCACCACAACACAGUCAACAAUUUGGCCAUGGGUUCGUCCAAGGAUCCACCCUCCUCCAAAACAUUGGUUCCCUCAGUAAAAAAAAUCGCCGCGCCAUCUAGAGGACACAACACUAGCAACCGGAAAUGGUACUCCUCUUCCCUUAUUCGUGCAAAUCUUACGUGUCUGCUUGCACGGUAUUCAUCCCACAGAAGACACUAGUUGACCAUUUCUUCCUGAUACUAGAUGUUCCUAGUAACUCAUGAUGCACAAGGUUUAUCCUCAUAUACUAUUUCACCUUGGCUAGAGGUCUGUCGCACCCUGGAUUUCAUUUCUUGGUCAGUUGAUUCCCAAUUAAAGGAAGCAUUCCCUGGCGUAACAGUCGCUAGUCCACCUAUUACGCUAGGGAAGCAGCACCUCGGUGUUUAUCUUAGGGGUGUGUGGGGCCUAGGAGCUGCUGGCGCCCGAUCUGGAAGUCGGUCGGGCUUAAAGAGAUGGCCGGGGGCGCUGCCAAGCACGAUGGUGGUGUGAGGUCGAGGGGAGGGUGGGGCGGCGGAGGCAGGGGUCUAGGCCGGUGGUUGCUGGUGGUUCAGGAAAGAUCGUCAACAGUGACUGGCGGGAGGUACACGAAGGCCAUCUGCCCGUUCCUUGUAGAUCGGGUGGUUCAUAAAAAAAUGACUGACCUAUUUAUUUUCAGUCGACUGUUAUUUUGAUAGGACCACAUGUGGUGGUGUGCUAGAGGAGUGCCUGCAUUUCCCAGCCAUCCCUAUGCUCAUAUAUUACAAAAUCAUACGGAGUAAACUCUAAUUUUGUUUGCCAUGCAAUGUUGUAGAGCUAUCAUAUGUCUCCUGGCAUUUAUUUUUCAGCCACCUGCUAUCUGCUACUUUUACAGUGCACUAGUUCUGCACACACUUCACGCAUACUCUCACUAUUGUUUUUUUAUACAUGAUAUUUCAGACUCUGCAAAACUGUUCACAGAAGCACGAAAUAAAAGAGAGAAGUCGCUCCUGUUUUCUUCGUUGGCAGGCAAGACAUGUUUCAGCGCUUGAGAUGGAGACGGUAAACGUAGCUCUGGAGUUGAUGAUCUCGCUCACCAUGAACCAUCAUCCCAGGUGCUUUCUUUAAAUUCGCGGUGUCAUAUGUGGUUUCAUGUUGCAUAUGGUGUCUAGCUUGUAUUACUUCCAAUUUGGUUAAACUGCAUCUGCUUAGCUUACACAUUAUACCUUUGAAUAUGACAUGCCUUCCUAUUUUUGGUACAUACUAGUACAUCUGUCUAUUAACCAUGUUCUUACGUCAAACUAAUAUUCUUGUGUAUCCCUAUCAAUCACUUAUGAUGAGACAAUCACGUCAGUGGGUUACUGUGGGAAAAUACACUCUUUUAAAGAAUGCAGUGUCAGCCUCCCCACAUGAUUCUAAAGAAACAACAAGACUAGAUGAAGAUAGUGAACGUAGCUCUGUAGUUGAUGACUGCAUUUCCCCUACACCAGCAUCGCAGGUGCUUGCUCUAACUUGGCAGCGUGAUAUGUGGUUGCAUGUUGCAUAUGGUGUCUAGAUUGUAAUUCUUCCAAUCUGGUUAAAUUGCAUGUGCUAUUCUACUUAGUUUACACAUUAUACCUGUUAAUGUGACAUGCCUUCCUGUUUUUAGUACAUACUACUCCCUCCAUUUCAGUUUACAAGUCCUACGUGUAUACCUAGCUUGCCAAUUUUAUCACCCUAAUAUAAACUAUAUAACACAACAAUUAUAUUGUUUGAAAAUAGAACAUCUGAAGUUUAUAUUGAUAUAUUUUUUGUAAUAUAUGACAUGUAUUAGGUUGGUCAAAUUGACGACCUAGGGGUACACCACACCCUGUAAACCGAGAGAGAUGGAGUACAUCUGUCUAUUGAGCAUGUCCUUACAUAAAACUAUUAUUUUUUUGUAUCCCGCAUCAAUCAAUAUGACGAGACACCUUUAGUAUAUGUAGUGUGAUAUUGAUCACAUCUUUCAUAUGAUUUAUAGCAUGCGCUGCUUCUAAUUUGUUGAAAUGUCAUUUAUGAUGGGACGCUUUUAACUUGGUAGAGUCAUAUGGGUUGCAUCUUUCAUGUGGUGUCUAGCUUGAAUUGCUUCUUAUUUGUUGAAAUGGCUUCUGCUUAGUUUACACAAAUAGUUGUGAAUAUGCCAUGCCGUCCUGUUUUCGUACAUAUUCCAUCCUGGUAUCAUGUGUUUGCCUGACAUCAAAGUAGUGAUUAUUAGUAUCAUGCACGAAUGAGUUCUGAAGAGUGAAUUUUAUUGAUUUUUCUUGUCGGUUUUACUUGACAAUUGAAAAUCAAUAAACCCGAAGGAAUAGCAAGGCAGUGGAUAAAGGUGCUCCUUCCAAACGGAGGGCCUCUACAGAUUCUACUCCGCCACCCCCCAAGAAUAUUUGCAAGACAACACAUGCAUAUACACUCAACGUAGCCGUGUUGAUGAUGAGCACGUCUCCCCUAGUGCACCAUCACAGGUGCUCCCUCUAACUUGGCACUGUUAUAUGUGGUUACAUGUUAUGUAUGAUGUCUAGCUUGUAUUGCUUCUAAUUUUGUUGAAUUUCAUCUGCUUACUUUACACAUUAUACUUGUGAAUAAGACAUGUGUUCCUAUUUCUAGAACAUACAAUAUCUGUCUACCACACCAUGUUCUUACAUCAAAGUACUACUAUUGUGUAACCUGCAACAAUCACUUAUCAUAAGACACAUUUGACUUCGGAGUGUGAUAUAGAUUACAUCUCGCAUUCUUUUCUAGCAUGUACUACUUCUAAUUUGUUGAAAUGGCACUUAUGAUGAGACAAUUUUAACUUGGUAGAGUGAUAUUCGUUGCAUCUUUCAUAUGGUGUCUAGCUUUCAUUGCUUCUAAUUUGUUGAAAUGUCUUCUGCUUAGUUUACACAUCAUAACUGUGAAUAUGAAAUGUUGUCCUUUUUUCUUACACACUCAAUCAUCCUAUCAUGUGGUCGCCUUACAUUAAAGUAGUGCUCGUCAGCAUCCUGCAUCAAUGAGUUUCAAAAAGUGAAUUUUUAUUCAUUUUUCUUGUGGGUUUGACUUGACAAGGCAAUACAUUUAAUAAAUAGGAAGGAAAAAAAUAAGGCAGGGACUGAUGGCGGUCUUCCGGUGAAACCGGCAUCCCAGGUGCUUUCUCUAGCUUGGCAGUGUGAUAUUGUGUUGCAUGUUGCAUACGGUGUCUCACUUGUAUUGCUUGUAAUUUGAUUAAAUUACUUCUGCUUAGUUUACACAAAUAGUUUUAUAUAUGCCAUGUCGUCCUGUUUUUCGUACAUAUUCCAUGCUCGUAUCAUGUGUUUUCCUUACAUCAAGGUUGUGAUUGUUAGUAUCAUGCAUGAAUGAGUUCUGAAGAGUGAAUUUUAUUGCUUUUGUUGUCGGUUUUACUUGAAAAUGCAAAAUCAUAAGCUGUGAAUAUGCAAUGUUGUGAAUAUGCAAUGGCACUAAUGACGAGAGACCUUUAACUUGGUAGUUUGAUGUUGUUUGCAUCUUGCAUAUGAUUUACUUCUUGUACUGCUUCACAUUUGUUUAAAGGCCGGUUAUGACAAGACACUGUUAACUUGGCAGAGCGAUAUUUGUAGCAUCAUUCAUAUGGUGUCUACCUUCCAUUGCAUUGCUUUUAAUUUAUUGAAAUGCCUUCUGCUUAGUUUACACAUCAUAGUUCUGAUUAUCUCAUGUCGUCCUGUUUUUCGUACAUAUUACAUCCUCCUAUCAUGUGGUUGUCUAACAUCAAAGUUCAGUUCAUCUGUAUCACGCAUCAAUUUGUUCUGAAGAACUAAAUUUUUAUUCAUUUUUCUUGUCGGCUUGACUUAACAUGGCAUAGAGAAAGAGGAAGGAACACAAUGAUAGGGGAUGGUGUUAGUACUAAGGACACACGGAAACGGAAGCGGCCAAAUUAUGCAGAUUCUGCUGGUACUGAUGGUGCAAUAGAAGGUCAAAGUCUAGCAGAUAAUUGUACAAAUGCAGUAUCCUGUGCUACACGAGCUCCAAAACAAGCCAAAUAUAAACUAAUAGCUGCCACCAAACAAGCAGAGACAGCCCUAGUUGUUGCAACACCUUCGACAGUACCACCAGCUGCACGAGUUACUCGUUCGUCAACUCACCUAGUAGCACGUUCCCAAGCUCCCUUGACCUGACACUACUUCUGAAGCACUCUUGACACAAGACGAGUUGGCAAGAUUAGAUGAAUCUUGUGAGCUUCACCAGCUAGAAGGUAGUUGCUGGAGUCAAGUUACAGUUGCAUGCUUCUUUAUAUGUAGUCUCACAGUUUAAUGUACACUAACACUUCCUAUGUUCGUUGUUGGACUAGCACCUAGGCGCAAGAGGAAACAAACAUCAGGGAUAAUGCCCGAUAGGUUAACUAAAUCUAGAGGAGGAAGAAUGGAGAUCCAUUUUGAGGCAGGUUUAAAAAGGCCACGUGAUGCUACAGAGUCAGCCAAGUUAGUAUCAGAGGCAGCGGUUGCCGUUAGGUGUCAUGCAUGUAUCCUCCCAACAUGGAUUUAUUACAGGAAUGACAAAGACGAAACCCAGUUCUACACCUUCCUCGACCAUUUAUCUAUAAGUAUGGUUAUGUAUGGAAACUAGUAAUAUUGUCUUGCUCUGUCCCAUACUUUCUAGGUUGCUGAUAAUGAGACUCCCAUAAUUUUCAACAGAUGAGGUUCAAGUUGGAUAGCCAAGAUGAUGCAACCAGAUAAGCUUGCACCCAUGUUUUCAAGUCUGCUCUGUGACAGUAUCGGUAUAACUUCAGGAAAACUCACUUUGAAGGCAAGGCUAACCGUGAACUUGCCCAAACAUCUCCAAUGGAAAAUAUAUCAGAUGAAGACUGGAGAGGCCUCGUUAAACACUGGUCUGAUCCAAAGUAUCAAGUACGUUAUAUGUAUGUGAUCAGAUCACAUGUUGAACUCCUCUUUACGCAUGUGCCUCACAAAUCUAUCUUCUUGUAGGUGAACUGUUCAAAGAACAAGGCCAACCAUACGAAAGUGAAAUUCCAACAGACGACAGGAUCUCGUAGCUAUAUUGCACACUGCGAGGCUCUUGUAAUUAGCUGUUGUUUCACUCUUUUUGAUGUGCCAUAUUAUCAUAUCUAUAUUGACUUGUUCCAAAUGCAUAGGAAACCCCGCAAGGACCAAAAAGUACUUGAACCAAAUGAUGUGGAAAUCUUCAAGGACUAUCACACCAGCAAGACGAAGGGCAUGACUACAUCAGUCAAAGCCGCUGUUGUAAGUCCUUAACCCUCAUGCCUUUUAACUACUACUUACUCUGACUCAUGCAUUGAACUGCAUGGUUUGCAGCCACUAUUACUCUUUUCAAUUUUAUACACAAUUAUCUUAGCGUACCAUUGCACCUUACAAGGUUUAAAAGAGAGGAGUGAUGUUCCUUUCAUCUUGAUCUGUAAUCUAAUUCUGUGCUAGACUUGCCCACACAACAUUACAAUUUCAUGUUUGUUUGUUCUCAGUUGUUUUGUGAUAUGAAUGAUGUCAUACUAUUCUUACUGUGUUAUAAACUUUGUCUCUUUAUCCUUAGCUGUCAAUACAAUGUGAGGGAAUACACAAUACAUUAGCCAUGGUACAUUGUCAUAUGUUUGGAACCUGGUUUUAUUAUGUACUUUGCAGUAAAAUACAACUAAUAUUUUACACGGGUUCACCAGAAUAAGUUUUGUAUAUAGACCAAAGCUAUUUUGUUUGGUUUUGCUGCCUCCUUAAUAUCUUUUGUUCUGGUACUACUAAUGUAAAAACUCAACUUUUCAGCAAGCUAUGGAAAAAAUGGUGGAACCGCCACCUUCUGAAGGUGAUGAGGCAACUAUAACCGCAAUGUCACCUCUUCUUGCAGUGGGUCAGUACAUGUCCACUAACAAUGCCAAAAGCACGUUCCUGCGUAAUACUGGGUUGGUUGUUAAGGCAAUCUCGUCCAAACUGCCUCAUGAUCAAGAUAUGCAAGCUCAAAACAAUGUUAUAUCUGUGCUCUAGACACAAGUGCAUUCCCUAACAGAGACCCUUUGUGAAACAAGGACCACCAUUGUUCGAUGUUGUCAAGAUAUGCAUGGUUUUGAAACCAAACUAUCAGACAUUUGCUAUGUAGUUCAGGAGCCUAGGAGAGAUGAAGGCGAAGGUUAUGGUGCUCCAUCGGACAGUACAACAUAAAAAACGUAACAGUCAGGUCAAAUGAAAUGAGCUUCUGAACUUCUGGUGGUGCAUUUAUCUGCCAGACUGUUAACUUUUAUGCCAACCUUCCUUUUGUUUUAUGGUUGUAAUUUAUUUUGUUGCGAUACAAAACUUGUUCUUAAUGUGCAGCCACCGGCUGAAGAAAAUAGCUAGCCAUUUUUGUAUAGUGUAGGGUGUUCCCUAUAUUUGCACUGGUGGCGAACUUUGAAGCCUAGUGGAUGUAAUAUGUGCAAUCGCCUUAAUAUCCUAGCGUUAGUUUCGGGCUUAUUUAUUUUGUAGUUUUCUUUUCCCUGGUUUGCUAGUGGCCGCAACAACCAUGGGCCAUAUACGGACCGUGAUAACCUUGAGCCUGCUACAGGUCAUGGGAUCCAUGGGCCUCCUACGGGCCGUUGGAUAAAUGGGCCUCCAACGGGCCGUAGAAUCCGUGGGCCUCAGGCCGUCAGAUAAAUGGGUCCACAUGGGUCGUAAACGGGCAUAAUUGGUAUCGGGCCAACAUGGUAACAGGCCGUUAACAGGCCGGAAGACAACAAAUGCUUAAUUCUGUCACAAGCAUAACGGGUCGUUGAUGGGCCAAAAUAUAGGACAGGCUAGAAACGACGCAACGGGUUAACAUGCCACAAACGGGCCGAUUCUAACCACGGGCCAGAUUUGGUCCAUUAGGGGAACAUACUAGUAACGGCCCGGAAGUAAUCGAGGGCCGGAAAGGAGCCCAAGAACGUAUCGGCCGUCAGUAGGACGAAAGCUAACACGGGCUGGAAACAGCCCAUGUGAAACAUGGGUCGUUAAUGGGUAGAAAGAAAUUUGUUGUUCAUCAUGGGAUAGAGUCACCGUGGGCCACUAAAGGGCCUAAAGAUACGAAAGGCCUCAUAUGGGUCGAAAGACAUCGUGGUCCAUACAUGGGCUGAAAGUGAAAUGGGCUGGUGUUAUACUCGACGGCCCCCAUGAUGUUGUUGGGCCGAUUUCGGGAAGGCCCUAACGGGCUGUGAGUUACCGGGUCGUAAAAUGAGCUAUAUGCGUAUAUACCGUUACUAGGCUUUCCAUGGGCCAGCCCGCUAACUUUUGACCAAGUCAAAUGGGCCGGCCUUUGUAAGCUAAAUGGGCCAGUGUUGGGCCUUUGCACGUGUCGACAUAUCAUUGGCGCCUAUCUGACCCAAUGAUGAGCUGACACGUGUUUCCUUCGGCCAAUAAGAAUUUUACACGUGGAAAAUCACCAUUGGUCCAGGCUUUUAACGGGUUAUCACAUCAAAAACCGGACCCGGUAGCUUAAUGCCGACCCGUUAUGGUGGAUGCCAUGUGUCGGUUACCCUUGACGAAAGCACUUUCAUGACGCGUCAUUUAUCGUCAUGGAAGUGAACACUUUCAUGAUGAUAAUUUUGGUAUUGUCAUGGAACACUUCUACGACAGCACAUGUAUGACUAUCUUGAUUCUGUCAUAAAAUCGUCAUGAUGUACAUACAUGACAGAAAACGUGACCUACUGUGACAAACACGUAUCAUCACGAAAGUGUAUUUUUUUGUAGUGGUGGUGGGAAGUUUAGUACCACCUCACAAGUUGAGGAGAGUUGAGACCCCUUUUAGACCUAUGUUUGUGCUUUAUUUUGCCAAUUAUGAAUGAUUAAUUAAUCCACAAUUAAUUAAUAAGUCGCUAACAAAUGUGUCACUCACCGAGAUGUUGGACCGUGGGUUGUUCGCCAUGGUGCAACGACACCCUUCUCGGGGUAUGACGACUCCCUUUUCGAGGGUGUUUUGAAUCGGUCGUGGGCCUAAGCUCAGGCCCAUGACUCCCUACCUUACGACCUAUAUAUUAGAAGCACUGGCCAGUGUAGCCGACAAUGGCUCCCUCCUCGCACAACCCUAGGCGUCAUCUAUUGUUUCACUCACUAUGUUGCCUCCGGGGAUCCCAUCCCGUCUGUCGCAUGCACGGCCAAACAGGAGAGCAGGCCACCAAAACCCCGCCCUUUGAGAUCCCUGCACAGGAAGAAGGCAAUAAGGUCUUUGGGGAGUGUCUCGGCGCGAUUGCUCCUGAUCCGUCCCCGUCUCCGUCCUCUGCUUUGACUACUUCCCUGACAGCAACCCCAUGGCUGAAGACGCCGCCGCCAAGAAGAAGGUCGCAGAAGAGGCCUAAGCCACUAUGUCCACUGCGGUCUUAGCCUGGUCUACCAAAGGGUAUGAUUCGCUCAUCCCCUGCUUGCUCGUUCAUGUGCUAGCUGUAUGUGCUCUAUUAAUAGAUGCUUCAGUUCUAUGUUAUAUACAUGCUCAGAUGCUUAGGUAUCGGUAUGAGUUCCAUAUUGUGAAUGCCAUGUUUAUGAUUUACUCAUGGAUUGUAUUAAUAAAAAUGUGCUAAUAUAUCCAACAAUUCAAAAACCUUAUUUUAGGCAAUUUUCAAUUCAAGGAUUUGUCGCUACAUUGAAGUCGGUCCAGUUUACGGGAACAUAUUUAAGUGUUGGCAGUCUGAAACCACUUUGUGGCUCACAACUGUAAGUGCGUCAAGUGCCCCCUUCGUGGUUUUGGAGUAUUGAAGACAAAUAGGUUGAGGAACUAAUGUGUUUGUGAGUAUACACAUGUAAUAUAGUCCCUGAAGAUUUGAUUUAACACGUGGAAGACAACCACUAAAAAUGGAUUUCUUCAAGUGAAGAAUUUGAUAAUGAAAUUGGUACGGCCUUUGAAGAAAUUGAUGUGAAGACUUUGAAGCUUGGAGACUUUUGUUUUCAUAGUUUCUUUUUUCUUUUUGAGCCAUAGAUAAAACCAUACUGUUAAAGGGGGUCUAGGUGAAACAUAUUUCACAUUUACAAAGUGAUGCUCAAACUUACUCAAACCUUUACACACAAGCCGCUUCGAGUGAAGCUUUUGGAAAUCUCCGAAACAGCUUAUGCAUUUGCUAGCAACAGUGACAAAGUUCAUCUGAUCGCUGACGAAUUUGGUCAGGCUGAGGAGUUAGGAGUUCGUUAGUGCGAUCUGCCUAUCGUAAGGAAAUUGAGUGUCGUGAUGAAUUUGAGAGUUCAAAUUCUGACUGUUGUUGUGCCACAGGCCAGCUGUCGAGUGGAUCCUUAUCUUGACAACGGUGGAAUCAAAGAAGGGCAUUUAUGACAAUUCAUGUCGGUUGCCCUUGGCUAUAGGUAGCCACCCCCGAAACCACUUGUUUGUUGGCUGCUCCGAGAGAACAUGACACUUGUCAUAAGAGAGCAACCCAUCCUCUGACGACUUUGAAAGAAUCCUAAGUGAGGAAAAUCCAGAGCCAAAGUGAUUGAGCAUCACUCAAGAGAUUGAUCUGUUCGAUCCAUCGCCUAUUAACUUUGAAGACUGUCAUUCUUCCAGACGGUCAGGCAUCAAGUUCUGAGUACACCAAGAGUCACUAUGGUGUUCCGGUGAACAAGUCUGUGAAGGUUUUGGAAGUCUACCUUGAAGACUUACCAUGAGUUAUUGGGCGAGGUCUGCGGGCCUUAGCUCAAGAGGAAUAUGGUGAGGACUAUGUGUCUUUAGAGUUGUGACUUGGCCGCCUCAACCAGACGUACAGUUGAUACAACUACUGGAACUGGUCUACCAAAUUGUCUUCUUCACCGAGCCAACCUGGUUUCAAAUUCACCAACCCUUACCUUACACUAUUCCGCUGGUGAAGAAUUUGUGAUCUACUUUCUAAAGAACUUGAACUGAAGCCUUUCAUCAUGAAGUUUUCUAUUUCUUUACUUCAUCUUGCUCAUGCUUGUAUGACUGUAUGAUUGCAUGUUCUUCACUUGUAUGUAUCCUGUUUGCAUGCCCUGUUUGCAUGCCUUUUCAGUUCUGUGAUGAUUUAGUCUCCUCGUGUUUCUAUUUCUUCACUCCGAUCUUCGUCAAAUUCCUCAGAGUUUGACCAAUUUCAAAAAUCUCCCAUUCACCCCCCGUCUGGGAGUUUACCUGUGCUUUCAAAAACUAUGAACGUGUUUUGAGUCGGUGGUGUGACUCUAGUCGGAACAAUUGCUCCUAAAUAGGAGAAAGCGUUCAAGGAGACAACCACUGUCUUUGUGGAAGCCGUUCUAAAUCUGAUUGGAGACAAGUUGGUUGACGAAUAUCUUCAUAUGCGUGUUUCCAAGAACCUGUGGGAUGUGCUCGAAGCUAAGUUCGGUGCCACCGAUGUUGUAAGCGAAUUGUAUGCUAUGGAGCAGUUCCAUGAUUACAGGAUGGUUGAUAAUGUCCUGUAUUGAAACAGGCUCAUGAGAUACAGUGCAUCGCUAAGGAGCUGGAACUCAUGAAGUGUGAGUUACCGGAAGUCUGUCGCACAUUGCUUUUUUGCAAAACUUCCUCCUGUACGAAGGAAAUUUGCUACUUCUCACAAGCACUUGAGAUGUGAAUUAUCUGUUGAGAAUGUCAUCGGCCAUCUAAGUAUUGAGCAUAACUAGAGAGCAAAUGACUCACACAUGAAAGGGACAAAGUGUACUUCUAGCGCCAAUGUGGUGUAGAAGAAUUUCCACAUGUUCAAGGAAAAGAACUCUGUCCAGCAGAAUACUACCUUUAAGAAGAAGGGUAAGAAGGAAGACAGAUGCUUUUAUUUGUGGUUCGGGAGAUCCUCUACAGAUAUCAAGCACUCGAUCAUGUCCGCCAUGAGAUCCUCUGCAUCUUCGUAGUAUCUCGGGUCAUCCGGCUCUGGAGUCGGCAUUUCACCAAACACCGAGCUCUCCGACAGAUCAUGCCAGGCGGAUUGAGGCCGGCAUGCCGGUCAGCUCUCUCGAGCUCUCCGACGACGACCCCACAAUGGAGACGGGGUCUGACGACGACAGCGCGCCGGUGCAUGUCGGCUUGACCAUGGAGCAGGCGCAGACGCACUACGACACCGCCAUGGCGGAUGAGGAGCAGCCUGCGUCAGAUACUAUGUUAGCGUUCCGGCAAGCGUAGUGGGAGCCGAGGUACAACCUGCUCCUCCUCAAACAGCAUCGGCUAGCAAAGGGCCAAAUCUACAGCGAGCGAUCAAGCAAGGAGAUCGUACCCGCCAUGGCCGCAGCGAACCCGAACUUCAUUGCGGAGCAGCUGGCACUCAACGAGGCCGCACGUGCUUAAUGCGCCGCUCACAAUGCAGUGCUGGCGCAUGCGGACAUGGCUGCACAAGUGCCGGCAAUGUAGGCGGCCGAGGACAAGAACGCCGCCAGGUUCACGUCAUACGCGCCGCCGUCCGACUUUCGGGGACGCAUGUGCCAGGUGAACAGUGACGGACCGGUCCACAUCCAUCAUCGACCUCACGUCCACCGGCACAGGCGGUGGACAUGUCCCAAACUCCUUCAAUGAUGAGUAGGGUUUGGGAGGCGGUAUGGCAUUGUGUCUCAAGUGGGCCGGUCUGUCUCUCAUGUUCUACUCUUCCUCGUUAGAGACCGCACCUUCUGUUUACGGAUCUUAGACCCCGCCGCCAUUCAUAAAGACGGCAGAUGAAGGACGUGGUCGCCAGCGUGGAAUACAAAGAAAAUGGACGAUGAGCGCCGCCAUGGGAUAACUCUAUGGUCCUUCUGUUCUUUAUCCUAAAUGUUUGAUAUGUAAUGAAUUUAAUCUGAUGUGUAUGAAUAUUCAUCGUGUUUGCAUGAAUUUCAUUCGGUUAGUUAAAAAAUUCAGACGGAUGCCGGACCAAAUUCGUUCGUGAGAAACGUAUCCAAAUUACCAAAUAUUCCGAUGGCCCUGGCUGGCAAGGUCACAUCCCUCACUAACGGUCGAGUACCUCGCCCCACGUCGAAUUUUGUGCAGCCUUGUGUCGGAGAGGUCCGACAAGAACGUGGCACGUCGCCUCUCGCUGAUCUGAUCGGCGCUGCAAAAUCUGCAGGCUGCCCUAUUUCCCGCUUAUAUAAUUCGUACAGAGAAAUGAUUAUUCAGAUCUUUGCCAGGAGCUUACAGUACCUUUGACGUCGAAAUCUUACAUGGCUACAUAAGUAAUUCUCGAAAAGAAUUAUUUACCCUGUGAUUCGUGCCAUCAUGCAUGAAUCUUGGGCAUCCUAUGAUGUGCUGAUUUUUUAUAUUCUCUGCUUCGUCAAUGACUCAGCUUUUUUUUUCGGGUGUCGUCAAUGACUCAGCUUGCAUGCAUGCACCAGCUUAAUUAUUCAUCAACUCGGAAUAAACAAGGAGGAAGGAAUCAAACGCUAUUAGAGCCGAGCCAAGGAUCCAAUGAGCAGCGCCGCACAGCUACUGUACUUAAGUUGGAUCCGAGGGCGCAGGGCGCAGGGGCUCUGAGUACUGUCAUCAGCAUACACAAAUACCAGUGUGUCAAGUGCCAAGAAAGGCUGGAAGGACGAAACAGCUCCAUGAAAUCAGAGGGAAUAAUGUACGUUCCACCUGGCCAAUAAUCGGGUCCAGAAAUAAUGGUCGACCUCGCAUGACAUCCCAUUCCCCGGCCACAAUAUCAUUCUGCAAUCUCUGGACGUAUAUUUUAAGUGAGAACCUCCAAAUGAAGGAGCUAGUAGCCCCUCCUCCUCCCAUCUGCUAAAGCUAAACGGGGCAAUGAUUGUUACAGGCACAAAGGAAAGGCUGGAAUUCAAGACUUUGUGCGAUCACCUCUGAUUGCGACGGGCGGCAACAGACACUGUGAUUAACCUAGCUACUAAGGGGUUUGGAACUUGGAAUAAAGCUAUGCACUUAGCACCAACAAUCAUGCACAGCUAGCUGUUCCAAGCUGCCCGAUAUUUCCGUUGUUCUCGCCUGUGCAUUUUCUUCUCCAUGGGAAGAGUUCCAACACGGCACACUAGUGUGCAUUUAGAUAAGCUGUUAGUGGUAAUCGCUGGUACUCCCUCUCUCUCAGUUUACAGGGCGUGCGCGUGCCCCUAGAUCGUCAAUUUGAUCAACCUAAUACAAGUCAUAUAUUACAAAAAAUAUAUCAAUAUAAACUUCAGAUGUUUUAUUUUCAAAAGAUAUUAUUUUUAUGUUAUAUAGUUUAUAUUAGGGUGAUCAAAUUGGCAACCUAGGUAUACGUGCAGGACUUGUAAACUGAGACGGAGGAAGUACUAACGAGCACCAACCUUAACGGCACAUGACAACCUUUCUCGGUUCGUUCAUGUGUGCAUCAAUCAAGAGGCAGAAUAAAUUGUGACCUCCACUACUGCUUGAAAACCGGCUGAAUUAUGUCGGCCCCCAUGACACAUGGGUAUGCCUCCAACGCAUGCUAACGUGUCUACGUGGUGUGCCGGCCAUGAACGCGGCAGCGACCGAUGAAACCACAUGAUUCGUAUCAGCACCACUGGAAUGGAUUCCAUGGGUUUUUCCUCGCCCAGCCUGUGCGCUGCCGGCAAUUACGCUAUGUCUGUUGCUGUCCCGGACCGGCGCCAGUCUGUGAAAGCAAACCGUUGUGUCUUCUAUUGAAGAGUAAAUUGCAGAAAACCACCAGUUUGAGGGUUAGGCUUGCGAAAAACACUACAAUUCAUAUAUUUUUUGCAGAAAACAUUACGUUUUUAGUAAUUUUUUUGCAAAAACCAUUGAUUGGUGGAUCUGGCUCUGUUAAGCGUGUUUAUGACAGAUGAGCUCAUUUUCUGCUUACGUGGCGUAACUUUUUGUGCUAAGUGGGUUUUAAUCUGAAAUUACAAACUAGACCCUCAAAUUUUACACAGCCACCCCCAAAUAAAAAAAUAAAAAACGCAAUUGACCACCACUGGAGCAGAGCUCGUGCAAAUCAGCCUCAUCCCCCGCCCUCGACCUCGCGUUGACCACGGCCCCAAUGCUCCUCCGUGGUGGAGCUGCUCCUCCCCGACGAGGAUCUAGAUCGGGGGGUCCUCGUCCUCCUCCGUGGUGGGCACCGUCGUCCUGCCGCCGUGGUCCCGGCCGCGGAACUUUGUGCCGGCGUCGGAGAAGCUGUCCCCUCUGUGUGACCGGAGUGAUCCCGCCUGCUCUGUUCGGCGGCGACGCGAACGCCCACGGCUGCUGCCCAACUCCAUCGACCAUGGCCAUCGGCGAGAAGGCGGCGUGGGGCUCGCGAACCAUGUUGUCGGCGCCGCCAACGCUAGGCUCUGGCGGCCGACUCCUCAGGCUCGAUCCAAAUCGAGGACGACGGCAGCAGCUCGAUCCAGACCGAGGACGGCGGCGGCGGGGCGGAGAAGAGGACAUGGGGCAGCGGCGGGGCGGCCCAGAGCGGUGACUGGACAGGGAAGUUGACAAGGGGUGGCAGUGGCAUGAUGCAGAUCGAUGCUCACGGUUGGAGUGGCGGCGGCUCGAUCUAAAGAUGGAGCGGGGCUGGCGAAGAUGGGGGAUAGGGGAAGGGCGGACGUUGUAGCCCCAGACGCUCACCACGUCGAGCUGCGGGGACGGUGGGGGCACGACGACGGCGGCCCGGGGAUGGAGGGGCGGCGCUGAGCUCGUGUGCACACUUGCCGGCUGCGGAGGGAGAGAGGUUGGGAGCGAGGGGAAGGUUUGUGGCGUGAUUGGAGGGCCUAGGAAGCAAGGGGAGAAAGUUGGGGGGCUUUUUUGCAUUAAACCUAAACCGUUAUGCCACGUAAGAAGAAAGUGGGCCCUAUCUGUUAUAAACACGCUUAAUAGAGCCAGGUCCGCCGAUCAGUGGGUUCUGCAAAAAGAUUACUAAAGACGUAGUGUUUUCUAAAAAAAAAUGUAUUAUAGUGUUUUUCGCAAACCUAGCCUUUAAAGUGGUGGUUUCAUGCAAUUUACUCUCUGUUUGACAAUUUUUUUUUGCGGAGGUUAUUUGACAUUUUGACUACAUACAUAACAUCGAGUGGAUGUGGAAUGCAAAGAUCCCCUAGAAAAUUACUGUUCACGUAACGGCUUUCAUCGUCCAACCAUGACCGAAGAAAAGAUUAUGGUUUGUUUCUACUCCCUUCUUCUCACGUCCUCUAUCCUUGUGUGAUUAUGUGGAAAUGUGGAAUCAGUUCAUUGUCUUUUCUUUGGUGGUGGUCUAGGGUGUUAUGUGGAAAUGUGAUUAUGUGGAAAUGUGGAAAUAUCUACACACACAACUAGUACUGCUAAGACAGAAAGAAACAUGAGCGGGAUAAACGAGUUAUACCCUCCAGUAUGCCAGGCAGAAGCCAAGACGGCGGCAGUGGCAGCAGCAACGUUCUCGCGGCCUUCUUCUCGGCUUCGAGUUUCUCGGCAGCUGCACGGUCGGCGUUGUUGGUGGUGGACAUUAUGACGAUGAAGAUGACACGGACAUAGAUGAUGGAGUGGACGUGGACGAACGACGGCGAGCAGUCGCGUAGGAGACGCUCCUCAAAAAACUAAUCACCCGUCUCCCUUACAGGAUCUGGAGAGGCGGGGUUUCGGAGGCCUGUUCUCCCGUCUACCGUGUAUGCGGUGGACGGUAUGGGAUCACCGGCGGCAACAAUAGCAAAAGGGAACGACAGUGGGUGUGGAGGCAGAGAUGCGAUCUGCUUCUCGUUGCGGCUAGGGUUGGCCGACGCUUCCAAUAUAUAGGCACGGCCCUAGUCGAGCCGGUAAUAGCCCACGAUCUGACGUCUCAGAUCGUGGCCCGGCUGUCAAAGACUCUUCGUUCCCUCCAGCAAAAGUAAGCACAUAGGUGUGAGCUCGGCUCGGCUCAUUCCCACGGCGCGUCGUGGCGAGAAGGGCGGCAGAGGAGUGCGCGGGAACCACUUCUCUUCUUAAACUUCAAUAGCAUGUGGACGAGAAUCCCUUAUAAGGAGGUCUAACUCGUCUUCAACUAGCGGUAUGGGACUAAACUCCCUACCACACUCAUUGCCACAAAACCCACAUGGCCCAUUAGAGAUUUUCCGAUAUUGUUAUAUGGGCAGGCCCAUCCUAUAUUUCAACACAAACCAUAUAUGCAAUUUUAUAUUGUUGUUUAUUCGAAAGCACGAUGCAUAGUGUACGAACGUGGAUUCAAAUACCAGUUUAUGUCUGAUUUUGGCAUGGUCGAUGGAUCGAACUCGGAAUUGAGAUGGACAUAUACUACAUAUGUAUGAGAGAAAUAUAUACAUGCUUCAAACUAAAAUUAUACAACAAAAUUGGAAGUAUUGAUACUUAAAUAGUUUAAGCACACAUAAUGUUGGAAAAAAUAACAAUUGUUUGAUAUUAUCCAUAAUUAAAUCAUGUUCAUGGCAAUUGCAAAAUUAAUCUUAUAUUGAUAUGUAACAUGUAGACGCGAUCUGAUCUAGAUAACGGCUAGGAUUGCCAAUUAAUCACUCGCAAUUAAUUGUCAAUUAACAAUCUGUUCCCGACUGGCAAACAUAAAGCACAUACAUGACAUAUGGCUGAGCACGAGAGCAGAGACGGUUGGUACAAAAGGAGAGCGCGGGAAUACACUUCUCUUCUGAAGCUCCAAUAGCAUGUGGAAGGCAAAUCCUCAUAAGGAGGUAUUUGUUUUGUUCCCCUCAUGAGGUGAUACUAAACUUCCCACAUUAUCAUGACACCUCAAAUGGGACUUUUGUGAUUUUUCAGGAAUUAUUUCUUUUGUUGGCCAAGGCCCAUCUAUAAUGCAACACAUAAAACACUAUAAAGGCAACACAAUAAUCCACAUAAAUUACUAACAAGCAUAUGCCCAAUUCAUUGGCAAAGAUAAGAUCGUGUAUUGCUAGUUAAUACUUAAAGUUUUAUCAAUGAAUUGGAUAACCAUAUUUAAUAUGCCGGAUUAUCCAGCCAUAAAAACAGAUUAAUCUAUUUCAUUUAAUAUCAACAAUACCAUAUCAUAUACCUAAACCUAUCAACCACAACAAAUUCAGAUUGGAAUGUGUUCAAAUGUCAAAUGAUUCUUACCACAUUCCACACCAGCAGAAUCGAAAAUGGUUUUGUAGAAAACUUUUACCAUUACACCCGCAUCAAGGGGGCGUAGUUUUUUUUUUCUUGUCCUGUUUAUUUAUGUUGAGUUUCUUUUUUUACCUUUUUCUAUUUUCAUUUUUGGUGCCGCUUUUAUAUACUUCUAUUUUUUUAUUAGGAUCUUAUUUCCUAAACUUUCCAUUCUCUUUGUUCCUCUUUCUUUACCUUUUGAGUUUUUACGUAUUUCAUCGAAGCAUACAUAUUUUGUGUUAUUUUUACUACAAACAUACUAGAUAUACGUUUUGUUGGCCGGUUGAUAUAUUUCGUGUUACAUUAGUUUUUAUUGUUUUGAUGAGAAGCAAAACGUUGACCAUAGUAAGUCUGCCAUGUUUAGCUACGUAAGGUGGACAUUUUUACAUACUAAUAUUUUAAUUCAUAUGAACAUUUGCAUGUAUGUUAGAACAUAAAAAAAAUCAGUCCACGGGAUUUCACAAGUUUAAUGGAUACUUUAUCGGAAAUGCUAUCUCGCGAACAUUCGCCAAUGGAAAAAUACUAGUGAACGCCCUUCCCGCCGUCGGAUCUAGCUAGCGGCACCUGUCGGUUGCCAGGCCAGCUCUCUGGAGUCGUUCACUGUCCCACCUCUCCUGGCAAAUGGUCCAUUUUUUAUUUCUUCAAAGAAAACACAUGCGCAUGUGGGGAGUCAAACUUGUGCCCUCCUACACGAGCACCAUGCCCACUCACCACUUGGGUUGGAGUGGGUUUUGUGAAACACUUGCGCUCAAACACCUUUUCUUUAUUUGAGUUAUUUUGUGUUUUGGAUUCAUUUUCAUUGAAAAAAAACAAGAAUGCCCAAAACAAUUAUAUUUUUUAAAGAACACGAAUCCCUAUUUUUCAAGGUCUUAUUCUUACUAAACUUGCCAGGCGCAUUAUUAUUAUAGGUAACAUGGAAAAAAUAUUUUUUAUUAAAACCAUGACAAUUUUUUAUCUUCCAAAACAUGGCAUUUUUUACUUUCUCACAUGAUAAUUUUAUUAUUAAGAGCAUUCCAUUUAAUAAUUAAUGACAUGUAACCUUUAUUAAUAAGAAGAUGAAAGUUUUAUUAUCAAGAGCAUGGCAUUUUGAUAGUCAAUAACGUAGCAGUUCUAUUUCUAAGAUGAUGGCAUCAAUAAUCAAUAAUAUGGCAUUUUUAUUAAUAAAAGGACGGAAGUUUUAUUUUUUAGAGCAUUGCCUUUUAUUAUCAAUAACACAUUAGUUUUAUUAUUAAGAGCAUGGCAUUAAAAUAGUCAAUAAUAUGGCAUUUUUAUUUUUUAAGAAGAUGACAUCUUUCUUAUUAAGAGGAUUGCAUUUUUGGGUUUUUAUGGCAUUUUUUUUGUUUUUUUAAUGUGAAUUGCAAAUUGUUUCUUGACCAUAGCAAUUCUAGUUUGUAAUUUUUCUGUUUUUUGAAACCAAAAUAUAUAAUCUAAUUGGGGCUUAUCCAGAUAAAACAUUUUUUAUCUCUCGGAUGGGAGUUUUAAAGUUUACGAUUUUUUUCUGGAUCACACGAUCUUCUUUUUGUUUUUGCUCACACUCAUUGUAAAUUCAUAAAUUAAAGAAAUGACAAUUUUAUAAAGUAGCAUGAUUUUUUCAUAUUUCAUGGUAAUUACUGUCUUUUAUGGCAUUUUGUCAAAUAAAAAAACUUUAACCGGGCCUAUGGGCCAGAGUGAUAGAAAUGACUGGAAGGUAUCCCACCUCAGCGAACAGCCAAAAUGAAAGAGUCCCCCCCCCACCACCACCACACACACACACACAACUCCCCCGAGCGAACAAAAUAGUUCGUUGGACACAAUCCGGUAGCUGACGGACGCUAGAUAUUAGGGUCUUUUAGCUCGUACUGGCUUUCUUGACCUACCAUGUUAAUUGGCCAUUUAGCCUAAUUCAUGUCGCCCUUUCCUUGGCUCAUAUAUCGCUUUCCUCAUCUACCAUGAGAGAAUGUGCUUCCAGGACAUAGGGUUUGAGGGCGACGAUAGCGGUCGUUAGAGAUUUUCUCAGUCGCCUCGGCUCUAGUUUUUAUCCUAGCGCUGAGAGGUGGAGACAUCGGAUCUAAGUGUUUUGUGGUCUUCGUAAGACUUCGGAGUGGUGAUUUUUGUGAAAAAUAUAUUCUUUAUACCAUGGUUGUGCCAUGUAGAUAGAUAUGCUUGUGUCGGCACAACGCCGUUUAUUCGAGUAUGAUGAAUCUAUGUUAUUGUGGCAUGUUGCUUUUGUUGGUUUGAUUCUAUGUAGAGAUGGAACUUUUCCUCGACAAUAUGUUGAGGAUCUUGUUGUUUCACGAAACACACUUCAAGGGUUUAUCCCAGCCCAAUUCUACUAAUUGUUCAUGAUUUCUCAUCUUUUUGGAUGGGCGACUCAAGGGGUCUAAACCUUUAUUGAAAAUCAAUUUCGUGCUAGUUAAUGAGUGGUCAUAUCGCUGCUCUGGACCAAUUGUAGUUUCUUUACCGAAGUCUUGGAAGUAUUUUUUUACCUUGCAAAGAUUGAUACCAUUGAGAAGAUGUCUUUAAGGAAUUUCAUAUAACUCUUAGUUGUACUAAUUACUACGUUGUUUCUUGCAUCUUGGGAUACAAAGCAGUUGUUUCUUGCAUCUUGGAUACAAAGCAUUAGACCUGUAAUGAUUACGAGCAUGAAUAAAGUUACAUGUGCUUCUAAACAAAUAUCAGCUUUCCUUGUGGGACCACCUCCAACAUUCGUUACGGUUACCGUCGCUACCCCACUCCAUGUUUUCCUGUCUUCCACCAUAUGCGGCUGGUAUCACUAUCGUGCUGACUCACUAUCCCCUUUUCCCCUAGCUACUUGCCACCUCCCCUAGUCCUCCCCGGAUAUGCCUCCACUACCCUCCCUCAUUCUUGGCUGCAGUGAGCACCCCACACUUGUGUGCCCCCGUCUCCGCUCAUGUUCGCCUCGUUGUCAUUGUUGACACAACAAUGAAAUGUGUCAUCACCGACUCCAAUUAGCCUUUGCCUCAGCUUCAACUCCAUCGUUGACAGUGCGACCAACUGCAUAAUUUGAACUUGGCUCGGUUAGCUAGAAUUUGCUAUUAGGCACCUAAGGCGCCAAAUACUAGACAACCCGACACACGGCACAUACCCCAUCUGAGCGCUAGUUUCCUAAGUGGGUUGGCACAAGUUGGUUGUCUUUCACUCGUGUUGGCAACCACCUCAAAGGUACUAUCAGGUUUGUUGACUAGUUUUUCUCUAUGUUUUCUUUUCGUGUGUUUUGGACGUUUUUACUUGGUUUUCCUUUUUAUUUUAUUUUAAUUUAUAUGACCUUUUUGAAAUUUCCAAACAUUUUAUAAAAUCCUUGAACAUUUUUUCAAAAUUUACUAACAUUUUUAAAAUUUAUGAACAACUUCAAAUUAGAACAAUUUUUAAAUAAGUGUCUUUAAAAUCCAUGAAUUUGUUAAAAUUUUCAAUGAAUGAAUUUUGUAACCUAUACAGAGAGUGGAUGUUUUUCUCCGGAAGUGAGUAGAACGGGGAACAGUAAAAGUGAACGAGAAAACAAGCGGACCUGGUGCGCGAUUGAGCAAGCGGUCGCGCGAGGGAGGUGACACUAUUGGGUUGCGUCACACGGAGAAAAGAGGGACCGCUAUACAGUCAUUUCGGCCCUAGUGCUAUGUAUCGCUUAUUACGGGAAAGAAUAAUUAUUCACCUACAACACUCCCUUUGAUGGGCUGGACAAAUAGUGAGCCUUCUGUCUGGUUUUGGGAAAAUUCCGAGCUUUUCUCCUUUUCUCAUUUUUCUCUGUUUUUCAUUGCUGCUCUUAUGUUUGUUUUUUUAUCCUUUUUUAUUUUUUUUAUUUUUUAUUUUCCCUAUUUUUCAAAUACAUACAAACUUUGUAUGAAUACAUACUGAACUCUUUUCGUAUAUAGAUUCAACAAUUUUCAGGUACACAUUGAACAUCUAUCCGAAUGCAUGUUUAAAAUUUCUCAAAUUCACAUUGAAUUUUUUUACAUACACUUUGGACAUUAUUCGAAAGCUUCAUGAGCAUUUUUUGGUGCUAUGAUUUAUUAUAUGUUAUGAACAUAGUUUCUAAAGUAUGCGGACAAAUUUUAUAAUUGUAUCAGAUUUAUUAUUAAAUAUCAUUUGCAUAUUUUAAAAUGCAUGAACAUUUUAGAAUGUCAUGAUUUUCUUUCAAAUGGUAUGAACAUUUUUUUCAAAUUACGUGAAAAAAUCUAAACAAUUUUUUAAUACAUGGUGAGUAGCUUUGAAACUGAUGAGGAAUCGUUUUCUAAUCCACGAUGAACAGUUCCUAAAUACUCAAUGAACAUUCUUUUAAAUUUUUGAACACUAUUGCAUGAAAAUUUUCUAAAUACAUGGUGAAAGCUUUUUGAUAUGUGAUAAACAUUUUUGUAAAAUACACGUUGAUUUUUUAAAGAUAUUUAAAGAAGUAUGGGCAACUUUAAUAAAGGUGCAUACAUGAAUUGAAAAUAAAUUAGGUUUUCAUGUACCUCUAAAAUAUACAUGACUAUAUGGUUUUUAGGGGGGGGGGGAGUUAUGUAAUAUAGAAGAAAAAGAAUGCACCUAACGGGAAGAAGAAAAGAAGAUAAGCGAACAUGACGAAGCUAGCCUAUGCAAACUGAACGAAGCCGACCUACGCAAAUGGAGUGAAGCACCUACCGUUCCAAUACACGUUCGUUGGAUGAGUGGUGACCUUCUGCCUCCCUCCAAGAUACAUAUAUAUGUACCCUCAGUUUUGGCGCUAAAGGCCUUGAAUAGGAACUCUGUCUCAACCAGUCAACCCAUCUCCGAGCCAAACGGAACGGACCCAUCGACACGAGGGGGUGCGUGAAGCUGGCGGGGCGCAAAUGCUACCAAGGGCAAAUGCGAAAACUUUUAGGUGAGAAAUGAACAAUUUGGAAAGCACAACUUCGGACCCAUAAAUCAAAUCAAAUAGUGAUAGAGCUAGAAUAAACAGAUCGUCAGGGCUACAAUGUCGUUUUCUGACAUGAAAGAGAAGAUAUUUUCUGAAGCAACUCCAAAGGGAAGAAGUAGAAAGUACACUACCCAAAAAGACAAAUUGUCAUGUGAAGCUUGGAAGAAAAUUAGUUUUGAUCCAAUCAUCUGUGUGGAGCAACCAAUGUCAACAAAUUGGGAUCAUAUCCAUGGGUACUUCAUUGCACACAACACUAGUGGCAUCUAUCAAAUGUAAGCUCCUCAUCUCUUCUAUGGGUUGAUUUCUAACUUCUUCUCUCACUUGUGGCAUGAAGGUCAAAAGUUGCUCAAAAACUAUACAAGGGGCGAGGAGGGGAAAAGGACACAAAGAAGAAGGCAAACCAUUCACUUUGCAGCAUUGUUAUUCAAAUCUUAAAGUGUGGAGAACUGGAAGAACCAUUAGUUCAACAAAAUUUGUCACAAGAAGAAGAGCUCGGGUGGAGAUGCAACACAAGUUGGUGAUGGCGUUGAUGAUGCAUCAAGUGCCGAUGAAGGAAAAUAGAAGCUCCCUUCCCAGCUCAGUUGCUCCUAAGAAGAGGCCUGGUGGAAGAGAGCAUGGCAAGGAGAACUUUAACAAGGGAUACUACAAAUGUCAAGGAAUCAUUGGAAGCCAUCAUGAUAAUGAGAAAAGAGAUGUGAAGAAAGAAAGAACACAAAGGCCCAAGAAAUGUGGAGAGGGGGGGGGAGAAGAUGGUCGAGGUGGAGAAGAGUAAGCAGGUGAUGGAAAAAAGAAUCAAGAGCAUGGAAAACAGAAGAAAAAACUCAUGACGAUGGACAAGGGUAAACUUGAUGUGAAGGCAGGAGCAUACAUUAAGAUGUGUCGCGUUCAAGUAUUAGUGGCAAGGUCUAUGAAAGCAAUGGUGCCAAUGGCGGCAGUGGAGUGAAAGCAAGCCACUAAGAGGCAGUAAACAACAAAGAGGAAGCAAGCGAUGGGGGCAAUGAUAUUUGAGAGGGAUAUGUAUUUAUAUAUGCACUUAUGUUUGAGUUUGUCAUGCACAAUGCUUAUGGUUUGAAGUUGAACUUGAUUAGUGGAUUUGAACUUGAAAUUUCAUAUGUUCUUUGAUUAUGUGUGUUAUUAUUUUGUAAACCUUAAUCAUAACAUGUCUUGUUUCAAUAUGUAUGAAACUGUGGAGAGGAAAAUGACGACCGACAAGAGGAGGGCAAGAUUUUUUGGGCGCCACUUUCACGUCAUUUGCUAAAGCAACAAUCGUCAGGGUGAUGAAUUUUGUUCUCUUCUAUCCUAUAUUGAUUUUAUUACAUCACCAACUAUUUUAUCAACCGUUGGCGAUGCUCUUAGGUGAGCACACCUAUGUCCCGCUUAUAGAGAGAUAUAGGGCAACCUCACCUGUGCGAGCAUGAGACUAGGCUGGCCUAGCAGACAGGAGGCCACAGGCCACAACCUCACCCCCACCCCCACCCCCCAACUUUUUUACCUUUUUUGUUUUUGUUUUUGGCUUUAUUUUUUCUACUUUUGUUUAUACUUCCGAAUAUUCUAAAUAUAAAAACUAUAUAAAUCAAGCAUUUGAAAAAUGUUAAAUAUGUAUAGAAAAAUUGUUUCUUCUAUGUACGGAAAAUGUAUGGAAAUAAUAUACAAUGUGUACGAAAAAGUUGAUCAUGUAUUUGAAAAUGUUAAUCAAACAUUUAGAUAUGGCAAUAAAGUGUUUUUUAUAAAAAAUAACUGAAGUUUAAAAAGUGUUAAAUGUGUAUAAAACAUUUCCCAUGUAUACGAAAAAUAUAUACAGAAAAUAAACAAUGCGUGUGAAAAAUGUUGAUCACAUAUUUAAAAAAUGUUAAACGUGUAUAAAAGAUGUUCCUGAUGUAUACCAAAAAAGUACAACGUACAUUAAAUUAAAGUAGACAUAAAAAAAUUAGUUCUCUGUUUAAAAAAUGUUAAACAUAUACAAAAACUGUUCCUGACGUAUACAAAAAAUAUACAUUGUGUGUCAAAAAAUGGUUAUUACCAUUAAAAAAUGUUCAACAUGCAUUUGAAAAAUUCUCAAAACAUGUAUUUAAGAUACAUGUGCGUCGUGUACUUGAAAAAUGUUCAACUUGUAACAAAAAACAUUUCAUGUGUACAUAAAGAAUAUACAUUAUGUACUGAAAAAAGUAGACAUGUUUUGAAAAAUAAAAUAAAGUAGAUGAAAACCGACAAAGAAACAAAAGCAAACCAAAGAAAAAUGAAGAAAACCAAGAAAGCAACAAAGAAAAUCCAAGUAAAACAUAGGUAAUAAAAAUGAAAAUAAAAACCGAAGAAAACCAAUGGAGAACAGUGGGAACAAUAAAACCCGAGUAAGAAACAUAGAAAACCAUUGAAAACUGAAAUGAAACAAAAAUGGAGUUACACAAAAAUGACAAAAUGACAAAGUUUGUGUUGAAAUAAGUAACCAUGGAGUUACACAAAAAUGACUGAAUGAUGAACAAUCAUUUUGUCAUUUUUGUAUAGCUCACAUGUUUACUUAUUUCGUCACCAAAGUUUACACAUUUGUAAUAUACUUCCUCCGUUUCUAAAUAUAUGUCUUUUUAGAUAUUUCAAUACAAGCUACAUACGGAUGUAUAUACACAUAUUUUAGAGUGUAGAUUCACUCAUUUUGCUUCGUAUGUUCCCUUAUUGAAAUCUCUAAAAAAAACUUAUAUUUAGGAAUGAAGGGAGUACAUCCAUAUCAUCAUGUAAAUUAUUUUAUAAUUUUUUGAAACUUUAAAUGUGAUUUUUAAUCUAUUUAAAAUAAAAUCAUCUAAUGCACCUAGGAUCCAAAAAUCCAUUCUCUAGCGAAUGCAGCAACCAACAAGGGAGCGAGCGCGGCCGAAAAAAAAGGCUAAACAUAUACGUCCAUGAAAAAGCUUCAGGCGAGACGAGAGCCACUCUCACAUUAAGCGAGAUAUAGCUCUACUGUCAGCAACAAAAGGGAAGCGUUUACGAAGGGCGAGCCGGCCAAAACUUCGGCCGGCCGCCUUACUCGCUACGCGCAUUGGGCUCGCGCACACAAGCCACGUCACGCUGGCCCAAUCACACCGUUUUUUUCCCUUGUCUCUAACUCAGGACCUCGUCCACUCAUUCCUUCGUCUUGCUUGCGCCGCUGAUUUCUGCACCGAGUUCAACCUCCUCCUCUUUCUUCGGACCUCCUCGGUGCCGGCGCACCUAUGGCCCACCACCACCACAACGCUGCUAUAUCACCACACCCCCCAUCCAGUGUCAGUAUGCCGGAAGCAAACGAUGUGCGGUGCUGAACCCCAGCUAGGGGGAUUUUUGCUUCAGUCGGCGAUGAUGGUGGUUGGCGACGAUUGCAGUGGCAGAGAAUAGGUUAGUAUUUUUUUGAUUUUUUUUGCUUGAACCAGGUUUGAUUUUUGCUGGAACCUACUUGCAUUUUUGCUGCAAGACAGUGAUCGCGAUGACGGCAUGGCCGCCAUGAUUUUUUUUGCCGGAACCAACCUUUGCUUUUGCUACAUCGGAGAAGACUACGUGAUGGGAAUCAACUGCAUCCAGCGAAUUUUUUUGCUACAUCUGUCAUCAAUUUUUGUUGGAACCAGCACGAGCGUCGGCUACGACCGUCGCACAACGGAGCUACAACCGCAGGGGGGGGNNNNNNNNNNNNNNNNNNNNNNNNNNNNNNNNNNNNNNNNNNNNNNNNNNNNNNNNNNNNNNNNNNNNNNNNNNNNNNNNNNNNNNNNNNNNNNNNNNNNNNNNNNNNNNNNNNNNNNNNNNNNNNNNNNNNNNNNNNNNNNNNNNNNNNNNNNNNNNNNNNNNNNNNNNNNNNNNNNNNNNNNNNNNNNGGGGGAUGCUACAACCGGUGUGCAAAUUGCUACUGCCGGCAUUUUUUUGCUGGAAGCAGUUGAGAGUAGGCACGGAGGAGCUGCAUCCAGCGACAUAAUUUGCUACUUCCCGCAUCGAUUUUUGCUGGAGCAGAUUACGACAUGAUACAUCGAUGGCCUGAGUUUGUGUUGGAUGCUGGAACCGUUUGUGUUGGAUGCCACAACCAUGUCUUUUUUUUUGCCGGAGCCGGCUGCGGUGUGCUACAACCGUGGCUGUGAGGGGGAGUGCAUGGUACUGGAAGGGGGGACGGUCAGCUGCUGGCAACAGUGAUGGCCGGAGUUGGGUAUGCUGCAACGACGACCGGGGAGCAAGGGCGUGCUGUGCGAGGUUUUUUUGCUGCAAGGGGCACAAUCAUCGUGCUGACUUGGCGGCAAGUUCGGACGGCGGUGAGGUCAGCCAGAUGAUACCUGAUGGCGAGGGCAGCAAGUUGUUCUACGGCGAGGUCAACGGCGCUCGUCCUUAGUAGGGUCGGCGACGCUCGAUUCGCUCUCGUCAAUUCGCACUCGCGUGAUUUGGGGAGAAAAGCUAUUCGAUACAGAAGCUGAACCAAAAGCUAUUCGAUACAGAAGCUGAACCUUAUCUAACGGCUAAAAAUCGCUGAAUCGGGUGGCCGGGUGCACCGGCGCUUAUUAGUGGCCAAAACAAAAGCGAGAUAUAGCUCUCAUGCUCCUCACCCUGGACUCCACUGGACCAGUGCUUGCACUGUUAAUGGGCUCAGCCCAAUUGCUAUCACAGGCAGACAUACAACAAAUACAGAGAUUUUCUAAAAAAAAAAACAGAGGCAGAGAACGUUCAGGACAAACGGCUUCGUGGCACCCCAGUCCCCCUUCCUCCCUCUCCACACUCUCUCUAUUCUCGACUCUACAUGUAUCAAGGCUUUGGGCCUGAACUCAGUAGCGGCGAGAAGUGAAUCCGUAUUUGAGUGUUAACAAUGCACUUUACCUCUUCAGUCUUCACCCGUUGCAAUCAAACACAACAAACAGAAUGUACACACGACACCCGACAGCUGAUCAGAUCAAGCAAGCAGGUGGUCGUGGAACCAGCUCUUCAUCAUCGCGAACGCGUCCUCGGCGUCGCCGUCGUCCUCCAGCGACUCCGGCCGGUGCGCGAACCCGUGGCCCCUGCCGGCGUACACGGCCGCCUUGGCGCCCCUCGCGCUCCUCUCCAGCUCCCGCACCGUCUCCACGGGGCACAGCGGGUCGCCGUCGCCGCACACGAACAGCACCGGCGCGGUGAUCUGUGCCCCGAGCGACGCGUCCAUCCGGGACCCAUAGAAGCAGACGCCCGCUCUGAAGCAGGCGCCGGCGUCGCGCGCCAGCGUCUCCACGAGGCGGCCGCCCCCGUAGCAGAACCCGACCACGCCCAGCUUCUUGGACGGUUCCGCCGCCAAGAAGUCGUCAACAAGCCAUUUCCUGCACGUGUCGAUGUCGCCGGCCACCCUCUCCGGGGCCUGCUCGGCGAGCCACUCCUGCAACCCCUCCAUCGGCAGGCUCUUCUUCCACGGGUUCCCGCGGAACAGGUCCGGCACCAGAACGCUGCAUACAGGAAUGCAUCCAUCGAUCAAGCAUGCAUGAUGAGGUGACAAAUGCAAAGUGAUUGGACCGGGGAAGUGGGGGAGGUCGGUUGGUUUACUUGUAGCCGUGGCAGGCGAUGCGGUAGGCGAAGUCCCGGGUGGCGGAGUCCUCGAAGCCGAAGACGUCGGAGAGGAAGAGGACGCAGGUGCCGUUGUUGUUCUUGACGGCCUCGAGGAGGUAGGCGCGGACGCUCUCGUCGUCGCCCUGCCCGAUGACGACGUCUGUGCCCCUCACCAGCUCGCACGCCUCGUCGUCGUCCACGGUGCUGCUCGCCACUUCAGACUGGCUGCAGCGCGGCCCGUGGAGCCGGCGGCUCCGGGGAUGGGUGACGGUGCAGCGCCAUCUCUGCACGGGAACUGAAAUUGUUACGUCGUCAGAGCGCGGUGAACUACGUGCAUCUGAAAUCUCCCAAUAUAGAAAUUGCUACAGUUGCCAUAGUUUGCUCAAUCACGGUGUCCAAUUAAACACAGAGAAUAGGGUGAUCAGACAUCACGACCAAUUCAAGCCAAAAUGGGGUUCGGGGCAUCAAAGUGCAAGUGGAUAACACAGGAACGGAAACGAACACGUACUUACAGAGGACGGCAAGCGUGUGGGCCGCGCUCUGGUCGCCGGCGCAAGCGAGCAGCAGGCGGCGCUGCCCUCGCGCGGUGGCGACGGGCGCACCGCGGCUGCGGCCGCCGUGGCCGCCAUCGGGUGCUGCGUCCGAGCAGGGCAGCUCCGGUGGCUGGAACCAAGCGUGGGAGGCGGGAGAUAGCCUAGCUGCCUGCUAUGCUUGCCAGUGCCAGCCACCACACAAGGCUCGGGUGUGGAUAUUUUUCCUCCUGACACGUGGGGUUUCCGUGUAUGACGUCCAGACGAAUGGACAGAAGUUGCGGUUUGGGCGAUGCAGGUCGUGAGUCGUGACCGCGUACAGUACGGUUUUGCUGCAGCUAUGGAUAUGGUUUAUUAUCUCCGCGCUAUAUUACAGCAAAAAAGUUUUUUAUCUCCGCGCAAUACUGGCUGCCUGGAAACUUCUAUCUUGACGCAUAAUGCGUCAAGUAGUCGGCUCGUCGCAUAGAAUCGACCAGGCUGGGCGGCCCAUUAACGCCAGCACAGUUGGACGCUGGAUCCUGAGAGGUUCAUGUUCGUUAUUUUUCCUUUUUCCUAUUGUAUAUUUGACCGUUUUUCUUCUGUUUCUUUUUUUCAAGGAAGUUCUAAUUUUCAAAAAUUAUUUGAAUUUCAAACAUGCUUUUUUUCGUAAAAAAAGUUGUUAUUUUCAUAAAAAUUGUGCUUUCAAAAUUAUCUGGAAUUUCAAGAAUUGUUCUUGUUUUGAUACAGUUUGUAUUUUUUUCAAAAAUCUUUGCGCUUUCAAGAAUUGUUUGGAAUUUCAAAAAAUAUUUUUAUUUACUAAAAAAGUUCACAAAUUAAAAAACAGAUGUUUUUAGCAAUUUAAAGUUUUAUUCAAGAAAUUAAAAUUUUUGUUCAAAUUUUUGAGAAAAACUUUGGAAAUUUCAAUUUUUUCAGAAAAUUCAGAACGUGUUUGGAAGUUGGUAAAUUUUUGGACAAUUUUAAUAAAUAGAAAUAUCAAAUUUUGUUUAUAACUUGGAAAAUAUUUGAAAACUUUAUUUGUUUUAAGUUUCACCAAAUGUUUGGAAAUUUUAAAUUUUAUUCAUAAAUUUGAAUUUUUUUGCAAUUGUAAAAAAUUUGUAAUUUUUAAAAAAGCUAUUAAAAGAUUUUUUUUCACGUUCUUUUUAUAAACCAACUUGAAAAACCCCGCGCGAUAUAUUUCGUUAAAGUGAUGUGCCGUUAUAGGGUCAUGUGUCGCUAGGGUGACGGUCUCCCGAGUGCAUGGCGUAGGGUAAUGUGCGGCACGCCUUCAUCGACCGUUGUUACCUAUCCCCACUGCUAGCCUAUGAAUAAACCACCCCUCUUUGCACUUGUGUGCACAACACCCUCCAGUACCACCCAAUUGUAUAUUCGAGCCUCAAGGUAGGAAUGGAAGGGCCUUCUUCCUCGUCUCCGACUAUGAGGUGUGCCGCUAGUCUCCACCGUGGCGCGACGCCUCUGGUCGAUCCCCUAUUGGAAUCUUCGCCUCGUUCCACUCCCCUUGAUCUCCCGCUCCUCCUGUCCCGCUCAUCCGAGUCAAUCGACACAUGAAUCAAUGCCGGUGACCACCACUCAACAACUGGUACCACCGAGAGGAAGCGUUGAUGUCGUUCGUCGAGCCCCCGCCCUGUUUCGACCACUGCCAUGGCCGUCGUCGUCCCCUGCAUCCAACCAUCUUAGCCCUGAGACCAAUCAAGCACCCUCAUNNNNNNNNNNNNNNNNNNNNNNNNNNNNNNNNNNNNNNNNNNNNNNNNNNNNNNNNNNNNNNNNNNNNNNNNNNNNNNNNNNNNNNNNNNNNNNNNNNNNNNNNNNNNNNNNNNNNNNNNNNNNNNNNNNNNNNNNNNNNNNNNNNNNNNNNNNNNNNNNNNNNNNNNNNNNNNNNNNNNNNNNNNNNNNNNNNNNNNNNNNNNNNNNNNNNNNNNNNNNNNNNNNNNNNNNNNNNNNNNNNNNNNNNNNNNNNNNNNNNNNNNNNNNNNNNNNNNNNNNNNNNNNNNNNNNNNNNNNNNNNNNNNNNNNNNNNNNNNNNNNNNNNNNNNNNNNNNNNNNNNNNNNNNNNNNNNNNNNNNNNNNNNNNNNNNNUCACUCGACCUCCCCCCCCACCGUGGUCCUCUAUAGUUGAGUGGGUCCCGCACCCAAAGCGGUACGAGGAGGAGGCGUAUUCCAUGUGGCCGCUCUAGGAUUUUCUGUUAAAUCAAAUAAAUUCAAUUUAAAUUCUUCUUUGACCAAACUUUGUCCACUCAUAACUUCCAAACUACAAGUCCAAAUGAUCUUUUUCUUUUUUGUAGUAUUUUCUUGUGAAAUUUUCUUUCCAGAAAAUGUUCUAUUGCUAUUUGUCACUCUGUUAGCUAGUAUCCACAAUAGCUUUGGAUUUAUGUGAUAUUUAUAAAUUGUUUUCAAAUAUAUAUUUUCGAGGAAGAAGAGCUUGAUGGUGAAGAUCUAGAGUACCUAGACUGUCAUCUUCACCAAGGCAAGCCACACAACCAUUGCUUGUUGACUUGUCGAAGUCAUAGUCCAUACAUAUGUACUCCCUCCGUCCGGAAGUACUUGUCAGAGGAAUGAAUGUAUCUAGACGUAUUUUAGUUCUAGACACAUCCAUUUUAUUCAUUUUUUGGACAAGUAUUUUCGGACGGAGGGAGUAUUUUAGAGCAUAUUUGUAUUUAGUUACUUAUGAUACUAUGGGCUACAUGUGCAUGUAUAUGUUUCUGAUGAAUAUUUUUCUUUGGUAGUAGCAUGAAUGCAUGAUCACAUUAAUAAUGUUAAUUAAAAAAAUCACGGCAUAAGCAUUUGACUGAUUGUAUGAAUAUGGUUGCUUUAAUAUGGUUGUGUAUCUUCACUCAUUAUGGAAUUCAAUAAUAAACAUGAGUUGGAUCAAAGCAUAUAUUCAAUAAAGAAGAACUUGUUAAACUAACCCAUCAUUGGCUUGGUCUAGUCAUGAUGCCAUCGAGUCAAACUUUCCACAUGUGCAACCACAUUUCCCUGGGAAUGACUUAACUUAGGUCUAUGCACAUGCUCUUAUUGGUGUCACCAUCUUAGGAAGAAUUAGACAUGUAUGCUAACCUGGCCCGGCUACCGACGUCUAAUUCUGCGAACCUGGGAAUGGUAUGGUUCACAUGUUAUGAAUAAAGUAAUCCCAAGAUGGGGGAAAUAUGAGAUCACAGAAGUGGUAGAGCCUUUGCUAGGCAAUGAGGCUAGAGAUUCCUCCUCCGGGACAUUACCCCAAGGGAUAUGUCGGUGACACGGUAAGAGUAGUGUGCAGAGUGUAUAAAUCAAUUCGAAUAGCCGAGUCCCGGGUAAUGGCCGCAGUUCAUACUAGGUCACACCAGCGGUCAAUGCCAAUGAUUAAUACACAUGAAGUUUUCAUGGUGGUUAAGCUCAAAGAUUUGUGUUGAUCACGAAUACGAUGUGGUGAUAAGAUAUGGGUCAUGAGGUGACUGAAGGUUGAUAAGUGGUCGCGGUGAUCAAGUGUGGACAUGACCAAGGUCAUAGACACAACCAUGUGGUAAGUUGUAAUGACCAAGAGGCCAAUAUGGUAAGGUUGCAUAAAGCUAAGUGAUAAGUUUGCAUAAGAUCAUGGUAGAAAUAGUAUUGUUCUUGUGUUUUGUGCUGCUUCUCGACCAUCUCAUGCAGCUGCUGAGUUUCUCUUUGUAGCACUGCUCACAUGCUCUGUGCUAAUUUCCAGUCACCUUGGGCAAAUUCUUCUUCUUAUCCACAUUGUUGUCAUGCUCCGUGUCUUGCCCUGACCAACCAUCUUGUGGCCAACAGUCUUUGGCAGUUGAUCAUUCAUUACGGUGACACCCCCGAGCUUGGUGGCUACCGAUUCAUUUGUCAGUUUUAUGCAAGAGUUCUAAUCAACCAUCAUUAUGCUAACAUAAAACUUCCAAGAUGUAUCAUUCAUACAUGUCUAUGCAUAUGUGUGGUACGUAUUUGACAUGUUGCAUGUUAUUAUUUGUCGUGAGCUUGCGAUUACAUUCAGUGUACUCACCUGACUUUUUAUGCCAGAUGUUGGAGAUGCUGAUUGUGAGUAUUUCGAGAACGAUCCUGCAUGAGCGCUAGGAUCGUGUCCUACCAAGGAUCCCUUUGGGAUGGAGCCCCACCAUCGUUGUCAUUCUGUUGCUAAACUCCGAGGUCUUUAGUUAAAUAAUGUACAUAUUACCGCCGCACGUAUAGUGCCUUUUUGCCUCUCCAAGUGAUGUAUCGUGAAGACCUAUCUACCCUAUGUGUUGCAAUAUAUUGUGGUUGUGCUUGAUGCCAAUUAGCAUUAUAUACCAAAGGAUGCGGAUUCUUGGGCUAGUAUGCAGGGCACAUCCAAAUUGCGGAGCCGGGGUGCCACAUAAUGGCUUGGAUGUAUGAACCCUAAACUGUUUGAGCCAAGUAGCCAACACACAUCUUUGAUCAAGCCUUCCAACUCUGACAAAUCUAGAUCGAAUUCUUGUUUCCCAUGUAGAUCCAGCCCUUCAAACCUAUCUUCAACUAAUGGUUUAGGAAAUGUUAUUUUGUUAUCGCCGGCAUCGCCUCCCUCAUAAGAUCCAUCCGUCGUAGCCCUAUUCGACGUCGGAUCUGCCAUGCAGUGACUUCUUGUGGUCUACAGGAAAGGAUCGAUGCACUUGCGCCCUGCCGAGACCUAUCAAGAACGAUGAAACGAUGGUUUUUGAACUAAGGUGAUGGUAGCCGUCAAAGGAUAUUUGAGAACCCUAGAAAGCUAGGUGAAUUGCCUACCGCACUCGAUGAUUGAUGCAAUUGCUAACGACAACGAAGCUCUCUUUCUCUCUCCCCCUCCCUCUCCCAUAUGAGGUAACCUAUCAACCCAUAUGAGGUAAUAGACCGCCAUGCCUAAUCUAGGCCACUCGUUCAAAUGCAAUGGCCGUCUAAAAUUGUUCAAAUUCAUUAAAUGGGUUAAAACAGAAGAACAUCCUUAAACAUGGUGAUUCAUGUAAAAAAAUCUAUUUUGAGGCCCCACAAAAAAGGACCAUUUGAGGGGCCAAAAACUGGAAUUUAAUCUUCUUUCCUUGAUGCAAUUAAAGAACCUUUUCAACAUUUCCUGUGUCUCAAAAUCCAUGUGGAAUUCAACAUUGGCUUAACAUUGAACUUCCAUGUUUUCUUGUUCCGAUCUUUUGUGCUACAAUCGAGCACGCCCUUAGCAAAGAGUGGAUUCAGCACUGCUAGGAACAUUGCUUCGACAUGCAUCUCCAGUCAUGUGUAGCCAUGCACGCAGGUCACACUAAUCAUGGCACCACUAGCACAACAAAUUUAAAGAGUUGCCAUGAAAAAUGGCGAUGUCUCCCUUUGAUGGCAGACGACGCCGUUCCAUACCUGUUUUAAUUUUUUUUGAACAUCAGUACAAAAGCAAGCGUUCAUAUACACGCGCAUACACUCACCUCUAUGAACGUACGCACGCACACCCUACCCUUAUGAGGACCUUUGAAAGAUUGAGCCGACAUAUCAUCUUGAAAUUUACGAAGUCACCGUAAGCACUUCGUCGUCGACGGGAACGUCUCUUCCCACUGAAUAUGCUUCGCCGGAAUUCCUGAAAUAAAUUCAGAAAUAAAUGUGAGCACCAGGAUUUGAAACUUGAUGAACUAGGAAUACUAUAGUCCCUCUAGCUAUCCAACCACAAAUUGGUUCGCAUACAUGUUUUAUUUUGCCCUAGCCGUCCUGCAUUCACACCUGUCCAGUCCGGUAUUCCCGCAUACGGUCCCAAGCUGCUUAUCUUUUUGUUGCCGACAAGGAAAGGAUCGCAUGGUUUUAUCUUGUUUGGUUAGAGAACACACCGUGGUACCGGGCUCAAAAGGGUGGGCACGACCUUUCCGGUGGUUCUCUCAGUGCGGAUCAACGCACGGGAAUUGCUCACCUACAGGACGGAAACUGCUGCUUCUUUUCUGCACCGAACCACGGAGUAAAUGGCACCAGACCACGCUGGAUUAGUGCACAUUUAGUAGCUGAUAUAAUAAACCCUUACGGCAAUUCUGCACUGAACCACGGAGCAACUGACAGCAGGUCACACUGGAUUACUGCACAUUCAGUAGCUGAUCAACUGCUAAGACAACAGAAGAAAAUUAGGGUAACGGCUACGACAAUUCUGCACUGAACCACGGAGCAACUGACAUUCAACAACUGAUGAACUGACGCACAUUCGUACGCUCUUAGGCCUUGCACAAUAAGAGAUGCUUAGAAAAAUAAACCGAGUUUUUUUAAAGCACCGGUGCCUAUUUCUACAGAAGAGACGCUUAGUUAAGCGUCUAUCCUGUAUAAAUAAGCACCGGUGCUUAAGGAAAACCUGGUUUAUUUAUCUAAGCAUCUUGCAUUGUACAAGGCCUUAAGAUGAUGAACCUUAGCAACAUACCCAACAUGGUAUUCCACCAACCAUGCUACAACAGCGUCAGAGUGAAACUACCACAGCGUGACCUCUGAAAAAAGGGUGAGCGCCUCAGCACAACUACUCCCUCCAUCCUAUAAUGUAAAGACGUUUUUUGACACUAGUUACAUUAUGAGACGGGGGGAGUAGUAGAUAAAUUUCUGGAGAAAGGGAAAGGAAUAACACAUACUAGAUAUUACAAGAAAAAGAUUAGGGCAGGAACAUGAUCGACGCAACGGAAUUAACAGAACAUCAACAAAACUGGCACCAAUACAUAAACAUAACAUUCUGGAACUCAUCCUGUGCCCAGCUCUACACCAGAAAUCCCAAAGCCAACAUUUUUCAUCCAAAACUAUGAAGGGAACCCCCGGUCAUUCCCUUCGUUUUCUGCCUAGCUAAGCAGACCAACAUAUAAACCGACACCAUAUUACAGGGCCACCAGCUGCCUCUAAAUUAAUCAACUCAUCAAGUAUAUUCACAUCUGAUCUGAUGCUAACCAGAAGGAACAGAAUGAGAGAGGAG
rnacentral:lncRNA from 1 species